CUAAUAAAAGUAUCCCUAUUGUCUCUUCUUUCUCUAUUUCUCCUCCACUUCCUCUCACUCCUCUUCCUCCUCCCCCGGCCCAGGGUUGCCACUGCGCUCCUUCCCGACCUCGCCCACUCGUGAGAUGAUAGUAACGAAGCUUAAGUUGCUAAUCGUUGUGGCUUCUCUCGACAUUUUUCGACGAGGUCGUGGCGGUAGCUAGAGACGAGGGUAGCCCUGCUCGGAGCGUUGGCGGACAUAAAAAACGGAGGUCACAGAGGAGGAGGGUGAUGAUCGCUGGUGAUGCUGCCGAAGCAGGUUUGUGAGCAGGUUCGCAACGACGAAGUGAUGGCAACGGUAGUGAGAAAGAAAAUUUAGCAGAUGACACGAAGUUGCACUAUUUUAAAAAAAUAAUACAAUUUUGAACACAUAUUAUACUAUUUACUAAGAAAGUUACACUAUUUGAUACGUAAAAUAAACUAUAAAAUAGUACGAUUUUUUACUAAAUAGUGCAACAUAUAUUUAAAUAGUGCAAUUUAUUUUUAGAAUAGUGCGACAUCAUGUCAUCUGCCAGCUUGUUCUCUCUUACUACCGCCACCACCUCACCUCGGUCAACUACGCUUGCACAGCGAACAUGCUUUGAAAAUAUUCUUGGUCGGCGAUCGUUGCCCUCCUCUCCUUUGCCUCCUUGUCUUCGCCUCCGACGAAGCUUUGAGAGGCCAUGACGAUGAACAAGCAAGUUCAUCAUCUUCCUCUUGCACGUUUGGAACACCACAAUGCAGAUGGAGGAGUUGAUAUGAAGGCAGCAGAAGUGGGAUGAAAGCUCGAGACUGCCAAUGGCAGCCUCAAUAUAGGCUAGUGUGAAGGGGGUAGAGGAGAGAAAUAUAGGGUGUUUAAGGUAUAAAGAUAUUUUGGUCAACUUUUAAAUAAUUCCGUCCGAAUCUAUAAAAAUAAAAAAAGUGAUCGAUUUUUGUAAAAAUGCAAAACUGUUCAUUUUUUUAUGCAAAAAGACCUUACUUUAACAAGCAAUUAACUAAUGCUUGAAAAUAUUAAGAAGUACGAAUUUUUUGUACCAAGCUACUCAACCCACCAUUUACACCAAACCAUAGGGUUCAAAUGAAUGGUAUUAUGCAUAUCCAAAGAAUGAGUAAGAGUAAAAUGUUAACUGCAUUAAUUAGUUUUUAUUGCCCAAAUAUUACUCCACCAUCUAUUUCUAAAAGUGAACAUGAACUCCUCCAAAAGAAAAAAUAAAAAAAAAAGUUGGUCAUGUGAAAAAUCUUUUUGAAUUCUCUUUUACGCCUAUCCCUAUUUAAAAUUUACCACCCAACAUUCAAAAUUUAUAUCUUAUUGGAGAUAAAGAAGAAGAGAAGGGGAUCACACAUUACGCAUGCGCCAUGCGGAGUCAUCAUCUAUCAUGAGAGUAGAAGAAGAGGAAAAUAAAUUUAUAAAGCUUAGAUUUACGUUUCUAAAAACAGAAAAAACUAUCUUCCUACUUUCACAAUACGUGUUGCGCUGUAUCAGCCAACUAUGCAUUUUCUCCGAGUUCAUGGCCCAGCUCGUCUCGCUCGGAAAACAAUCUGUUAGAAACGCGAAGCAACUAACCUUCGAACUUGAAACCUCGAGUAUUAACCAACAAAGUCUUUAGCCAUGUGCACUAUAAGUAUGAUUGGUUAGCUUAAUUUUUUUUUUUUUUUUUUUUUUUUUUAGAAAUAGGUAGCAAGCUACCUGCUUCAUUCAUUAAGCGAAAUGAACUAAGCGUACAUGAUGGAGACAGCUAGGGCCUCCUGAAAGAGCCGAGCUUAAAUUAUAUUGAAGACGCAAGAAAAGGAGUUUUACAUAAUAUUAAAGGAAAAAAAAGGUUAUUGGACCGUAUUGGGCCAGGCCAUGGGCUGCGAAUGGCACAACCCAACAUGAUCCAUGGUCAUGCCGGCCCGGGAACUAUCACGACCACGCACGGCCCGUGGCCACAGUAAAGUUUCGGGGUUGUUCGGCCUACCUUUUGAAAGCGAUUUUGGGCUCAAAAGUGAAUGUCGCUCAAUAAAGCGUUUGGCAACUUUAUUUUCAAAAUCUGAUUUUGAUUUUUGAGAAUCAGCUUUUUAAUUUUCGAGGCCCAAAAUUGGAAGUAGCUAAAAUCUGCUUCUUGAAAUUUGAUUUUGAGUUUGGACUCAUAAAAUUUAAAAUUUAGAUAUUAAAUUUCAAAUUAUAAAAUUUAAAUUUAAAUUUUAAAUCUCAAAAUUUAAAUUUUAAUUUUUAAAAUACAAAAUUUAAAAAUUCAAAUUUAAAAUUUAAGAUAAAAUUUAAAUUUUGAAAUUUUAAGAUAAAAUUUAAAUUUUGAAAUUUUAGAAUUUAACAUUUUAAUUAAAAAUUAAAAAAAAUAAAAAUUAAAAUUAUACGUUUUAAUUUUUCAAAUUACAAAUUUUAAUUUUUAAAAUUCAAAUUUUAAAUUUAAAAUUUUAAAUAUUAAUUUUAAAAUUUAAAUUUUAAAAAAAAUUUAAAAUUUAAAUUUUAAAUUUUAAAUUUCAAAUGUCAAAUGUCAAAUUUUAAAUUAGAUUUUAAAUUUGAAAUUGAAAAUUUAUAUUUAGCUUUAAAAAUUCAAAUUGUAAAUUUUAAGUUUUCAAAUUUCAAAUUUAUUUUUUAAAUUUAAAUAUCAAAAUUUAAAUUUUUUACAAAUUUUAAAUUUUAAUUCAAAUUUUAAAUUAUUUUAAAAUAAAAUUUAAUAAAAAUAUUAUCAUAUGCAGAUAUUAAUUUUUUUUGCUAAACAUAUUUACAAAAUCACUUUAGAAAAAUCGUUUUUUUUUAAAUUCAGCCAAAUGCUCUAUAGUUUCUAAUCAAAAUCAUUUUCCAAACUAAAAUCAAUUUUGCAGAAAUUACUUUUUCAGAAUUUAGCUAAACGGCCCGUAGGCAUAAAAUUUGAAUUAAACCGGACAAAAAUUGAGCUCCAAUAGUGUGAAACAACUGUUUUUUUUUUAAAAAAUAAUAAUAAUAAGAACUUCUAAAAUGGAAUGGGUGAGAGAAAAAUAAUAAUGAUUGAAGGGUUGAGAUGGAUUUGGUAGCAAAAUAAUGCAUCUUAAUCUAUUAAGAAUGGAGCCAGUAAUAUUAGAGUAUUUUCCUAAAGAUCAGUGCGAUAAGAAAUGGUCCAAGGAAGCUUAUUUGCAUGAUAAAUAUAAAAAAUACGUAAAAUUUUAAUCUAUUGAAUUAAACUACCUUGCUUAUCUGCAUGAUAGAUAUAAAAAAAAUACGUUAUAUUGACUGAUAAAAUAAAAGAUGUAAUUUUAAUCCAUUAAAUUAGAUCUUUGUAAAUGUCAGAAGCUUACAAUUCGCCCUAAUAUCAUGUCAUGUAAGAUCAUGUUUGAUAACAAAAUAUUCAGAGGAAAAAAUGUAUUUUAUCGUGUUUAUUCUAUCAAACUGAGUAAUUUUUUUAUACUUUGCCUUGUUUAUGAUAGGGAAUGAGCUUGAAAAAAUAUGUUUAAAUUUCGUUUGUGAUUGCAAGAAAGUUAUAUUACAUACUGUGAGAAAGUACGAUUGGAAAAUAUCAUUUUUUUUCCAAACGUAAUAUUUGUUUUGUGUAUCGUGAUGAGUCGGUUACAGUAUAUUUUCCGCGGUCUCAUCGAAGAACGCAGAAGCAUAUCUCUGUAUGCUUUUACCCCAACUCCAUUUUAUUUAAUAGUAUCAGAUGGACCUUAAUACUAAACUAAGCCUUAGGCUUCAUUUGGGAUUACAAGGAGAUUACGUUGCGUGCUGUGAAAAAAUAUGAUGGAAAAAUAUUAUGUUUGUUUUCGUAUAUAAUAAUGCAUUCUGCAUAUCGCAACGAGUCGAUUAUAAAAAAAAAAAAAUUGCAUUUCGCAUAUCGCAAUGAAUCGAUUAUAAUAUAUUUUCUGCGGUGCCACCGGAAAACACAAAAGUAUAGUCCUAUAUGCUUUUAUCCCAUCUCUAUUUUAUCUAAUAACGUCAAAUGAGCUUCAAUAUCAAACUAAGGCUUAAUAGAAAAAACCAAAAAUAAAAUGGACUGAUUAUUUUUUUAUUUUAUAAUUACAUUUCUUCUUCAGCCUUUGGAUGGAGUGGGUAUAAAAUGUACACUUUUUUUUGGUUAUACUAAAAACCAUUUGUUUUUGUAACUUAAAUUGAAAUAUUUAUAAGAUUCACUAGUGAUUUACCAAUUUAAUAGUUCCAAUUAUUAUUUAGCAAGAAAAUCUAAGAUAAUUAAUGACUGGUAACUACAUUUAAGGAGAAAUUCAAGGUAUCUAUCCAAAAAAGUAAAGUUUGGAGGGUCUAUUUCAAAAUCGACUCUAGCAGAGGGGGUCUCCUUGCAUUAAAUAAUAAUAAUAAUAAAAUCUAACAACUUCAUUAAGUAUUAAUAAUCAUUAAUUACUCUAAUUAUCUUUACUAUAUGGAGAUCAAAAUUAUUAAAUUUGAUAAAAUUAAACGCAAAUUUUAUAAAAUAUUUAAUUUAGUUGAUAAAACUCAUUUAAUUAUAAAAAAACAAAAGUUGAGAUAUAUCAAUCCAAAAAAAAUAAAAUUGAGGGACCAGUUUAAAAUUUCUUAUAAAUGAAGGGGCCUGCGUACGUUUUAAUUCUUACCCCAUUUGGUAAGAGGCGAGUGGGGAGCAAAAAGAUUCAGUGCAUUUAAUUCAGUACGAAUUAUACGACUAGUCCCUUACAGUUAGCUUAAUUUAAUUUUGGUACUUGUGUUUUAAAUUCGAUAUUCAAGACCCUAUACCUUAGUAAUAUUUUAUUUUAGUUCAUGAAUUUUUAAGAGUAUUUUAUUUUAAUCCAUAUCUCGGAGUAAAAUUUUAUUGUUGUAUUUAUUUUAUAUGUAUAUUUAUUCAUACGAAUUCAUCGAUUCUCCAUUCAUUUUAUACUUUUAAAUGUAAUAAUUUAGCUUCAAGUAAAGAAAAUAUUAUAACUCAAACUGUAUUAGAGUUAAAAUAUAAUAUAAAAUAAAUAAUCUAAAAUAUUUAAAAUAUCACUACUUUAUAAUUUGAGUUUUUCAAGAUAAACGAUUGUUUAGGUGUAGAAAAUAAAUAUUAAAAAUAUGGUUAUAUGAUAACUUGAGGAAGACGGUUAUUUAACGUCUAAGUUAAGACAUGAUAAGUUCUAUUCAAUUUAACAGAUACGGGUUAUUUUUUUAUAUUAUUUGACAAUAACUUUACAACUAGAUGGGUAGAAAUUCAAUUGAUAAAUUGCAUAUUUGGUCCUCAAGUUAUAAGACAAAUGAUAUAUUUAGUCCUCAAAUUUUAAUUUAUUAUAAUUUUUUGAUCGAACUUUUAGGAUUAUUACAAUUAAGUUCAACAACCCAAUUUAAUCAACUAAAUAUUAAUACAUCACUAGUAUAAGAGUGAUGUGAUAUCUUAAUUAUUAGCGUAUUAUCAAGCACAACACUGCUAUAUUACUUCUACCACAGUGAUAUUUCACUGUUUAGACAAUUAAAUUGGGUUAUAAAACUUAAUUGUAAUAAUUUGAAUCAGAAAUUCUAAUAAAUUAAAGUUUAAGGACCAAAGUGUCACAACAAUCAUAGUUUGAGGAUCAAACAGGUUAAGGGCGAAAUUGGGCACGAGCAGGACGUUGGGGACUUAAUUGUAAAAGUUUAGGGUGCUCCCAUGUAAUUUUCCCUGAAGAAAACAUUAUAGGGGUCUUUUUGGUCGCGCAAAGCAUUUUCCAUUUGGUGAGCGUGGAGUGGCGAGCAAUGGUACAGUACAUUUAACGCAGUGAAAAAAAAAAAUAAAUUAAAUUAAAUUAAAAAAAAAGACAAAAAAAAAGAAAAAGAAAAAAGAGAGAGCGCUUGGGCUCUUCUCCGCAAUAAUCCCGCGCGAGCUUCUCGUUUUCGUCCUCCCCUGCAAACCCCACCCCCUCUCCCCGACAAAAAGCGUGAGCACACGCCGAGGCCCCAAAUCCCUCCCAAUUUCGAAACCCUACCUCUCCGAUCCCCACAAUCCCCGCUCUCAUCCCAAUCCCCCAUGUCCUAGAACCCCCCCUUCUCCCUCCCUCCACCAGUGGACCCCAUGGAGCCGGCUAACCCUCCGAAUGUGGCGGCGGCGGCGGAGGUGGCGGCGCAGUCGCCGGAGGAGGAGCGGAGGAUGCAGUUCUACGUGGAGCUGAAGCCGGGGGAGACCACCAUUGUGUCGUGGAAGAAGCUGCUCAGGGAGGCUGCGAAGGAGGGUGGGGAUUCGGCCCCGCAAGUCGGGGUCGAUCCGGUGUUCGCCGACCAAGCUGGUCCUUCUGGUCCGGUAGGGUUUCGGCGCUUUUUUUUUUGUUGUUGGUGUUUUUUCUUUGCUCUUCUAAUAGGUAGGUUUGUUUAAUGUGUUUUAAUUUCAGAUUUAUAUGGGUAUACCAUCGCCAAAGUACUUUUUUUUUUUUUUUCCUUUAAAGAAGGGAUUUUGUGUGGUAUUAACCUGAUAUACUUGCCAUCUUUGUUGAUCUCAGUUCAUCGAUAGGAUUAAUCAUAAAGGUUCUCGCUUUGUCUUUGGAGAAAACACUGGAAUUUUGAGUACAUUUGGUUGAACCUAUAUCGGGAAUUAUACCUGAUAUACUUGCCGUUUUAAUCAAGGUUUAAAGUGCCGUGGUACGGGAGCGUGUCGCUAUCUGCCUGGCACGGUGUGGUACCGGCACGCUUCCGUGCCGACACAUGAUACAUGCACGCUUUGGUACGGACUUAUUUUAAAUUUUUUUUUUUUUUAAUCUCAAUAAGCUCUUAUAAUAUUAUUUUGAAAAUUUUAAUCAAAUAAUUAUAAAUAUUUGCUAUGUAUAUCUUACUAUACUUAUUAAUUAACAUACUUGUAAGCUUUUUUGUAUGUAAAGUACAACUAUAUCUGAUGUAGAAUAGAAAUUUUUAUAGGUUAGAGUUUUUAAAAUGCGAAGAUAUCUUUUUCUCUUUUUUCUUUUGACCAUAUUACAGUCUUUCUUUUAUAAAAUACAAAAAAAUUAUUUUAAAAAUUAUUUUAAAAAUCAUUUUUUAAUUAUUUUAAAAAUUAUUUUUUAAUUAAUUUUUUUUUAAAAAAUAGUAGAUCUAUCAAAAAAAAUUUAAGCGAUAAAUUAUAUGACAAAUAAAUUAAAUAAAUUUAAGUAUCAAUUGAUUUAAUUUAAUUUUUAAUUUUAUCAGUAUUUUCAAUCUUCUAACGCAAAAAUAAAAUUUUAUGUUUGAUGUGCUUCAAAAUUUAUUUAUUGAGUUCGAUUUUGCUCCCCUAAUUCCGCAAAAGUUUCGCGGUAUUACAAAUUUUGAUAAAAUAAUUUGUAAAGAAAAAAUGGAUGUAUGUGGCGGAAGCGGAGGGUUCGGACCGAUCGGAUAUGUAAAUUAAAAAUUUGCCCUAUAUUGAUAAACAAAAAAAAUUAAAUUAUAAUUUUUUUGACUUGCCUAACAAGUAAAUAUUUAAUUUGUAAUGUCUUUGGGAGAUGUGGGGUACCCAGAAUACUUUGAAUACCCCAAAAAACAAAAAAAAAAAAAAACAAAAUGCAAAAAAAAGUGCACAGUGCUGGCACGGCAUUGUACCCCGGCAUGCGUCACUAUGCUGCUCUAUCUCGUGCGGCAUGGCCUUGCUUGCCGGGGUCUGAGACCCCCUCGUACCAUGCCCCCUUUUUGGGGCACGGUACGUAUCGCCCCGUGCCGUACAAUCCUUGGUUUUAAUCGAUCUCAGUUUAUUGAUAGGAUAAUUCGUAAAGGUACUAACUUUAUCUUUGGACUUUGGAGAAAGCACUGGCUUUUGAGUAAAUUUCGUUGGACUUACGUUUAGUGAGGAUAUAUAGGCUAUUGUUUUGUUCAUUUUUACCAGUACCGAAAUUCUAAUCUGAUAGUGAUUGUAGUGAUAGAGAAUAGUUGAAGCUUUAUUACAGAACACGCACGAGGAACAUGGAGAUUUCCUAAAGGUGGUAAAUUUCAUAAACUAGCACCAGAUUACAUCAAGUUGGAGUCCAACUCAAGAAACUCAUCUCAGGUCCAAAUUCUGGAAUCUAAACAGGGAUUACGGAACUCGACACUUAGCAAGAUGUUGAAUUCCGGAAUCUGGAAUUUGCUACCAAACUCUGGAAUCUCAACAUCGCGCAGAAACAUACUUUCGGGUUCUGGAAUUCCUAAAUCAAAUUCUGGAAUUCCAACUCCAGUCAAAAGUUCACACUUUUGGAUUCCGAAAUUCCUUCACCGAGUGUUGGAACCUGAACAUCCAGUAACUUGUUUUCUUCGGCUUUUCUCCGUGACAUUGACUCGGAAUGUGGCUUCAUCUCGAUCCAACAAUAUUAACAUGAUACCAUGAAUGCGACGUAUUUCAUACAAAAAUGAAUAAACCAUAGGCAUCUUAUAGACAGAAAGAAAAGCCAAAAUAAACUGAAAAAAAAUAUCAUGCACUAAAAUUUGAUACAUCAAAUUGGACUGCGAUUAUCUGUGAUGUUUGCUUUGUUUUUACUUAGUAGGAAUCAGAAAAUUAGGGAAAAAUCCACACUCUUGUUACCCCAAUUGCUAACAUGCAUAAUUCAUACGUACUUGACUAGUCUCAGUGGUUCCAUACUUGGAAUCCGCACGCUCCUCUACCACGGCACUUAAAUCCUUGGGUGUUAUUACUUUGAAACUUGCUAUAUUUGCUUGAACAACAUGAAAGUGUCUUAUUGUGUGUCGUUUUUCUAUUUUAAGAUGUAUGUUUGGCACUCGGUAUUGUCAUUGAUACUUAAUUGAGGAUACAUUACUAGACAUCUUUUCAUAUAUAGGAUGUGACAUAAUUAAUAAUAUUUGGUAAUAUAUGAUGCUUUUCUAUGAUCACUUCACCUAAAUUGACGAUUCUUGUUUAUUAGAUUAUACCUGCUGAAAAUGAACUGAAGGAUGAUCAACCACCUCAGAACAGAUUUAGCGCAGUCAUUGAAAAAAUUGAACGCCUAUAUAUGGUAAGAAUAUGUGACUGGAAUCUAUCAUGUUUUAUAUUUACUGUAUCAAUAAAGUGCAAGAAAUCAGAAAAUUGCAGGACAUUUUGCAAGUUGAAGUUGUAUUUGUAUGUCAGUCUUGCUUGUUUUAAAGUAUGUUUUUCUUUAAUUCCCUAUUGACUCAAAGGUCAUUUAUUUAGGGUAAGCAAAGCAGCGAUGAGGAAGAACUUGAUGACAUUCCUGACGAUGAUCAAUAUGACACUGAGGAUUCGUUUAUUGAUGAUGCUGAACUGGUUGGGUUUCCUUAUAUAUUCUGCAGAAGAUGAACUAUUUAUUAUAAUGCAUAUUAUAAGAAUAUAAAACUGAGUUUUCGUAUGUGUAAAGGAUCUAAUAUAGUUAUUUGUGGCGUAGUUUCUCUAUUACUAUUUUAUCUGAACAGAGUGAUGUCUCUCAGUAGUUGGGAAUUCACCAAUUGGCAUGGUUCCAUAUAUAUUUACUCUAAUAUUGAUGGCUUGGUGCUGUUCAUCUAGUUGUAGAAUGUCGCCCCUGUCAUAGCAAAUUAAAUCCAAUCUUUAGUAGAUCAGUGUACAAUGAAUUGAGAUUGUUUGAUUGAAUUAUGGCUUUUGUUAUAAUGUUUAUAUGGAAUGUGCCUUUUCCUUUGCAGGAUGAAUAUUUCCAAGUUGACAAAUUGGCAACUAAACACACUGGUUAUUUUGUCAAUAAAGGAAAGUUGGAACAGAUGUAAGACGUUAAGCACCUGGUUUGAAAAUAUGGUUGUAUACAUAUUAAUGCCUAGCUUUGUUAGUUUUUCUUACAAAUUGAUCUAGUGGAGGAAGAAGAUCUCUAAUAUUAUGACCCACAAUUCUAUUUCUCCAUCUGUCCAGCUCUUACUCAUUCAUUUUGGCUUUUCUGCUAUUCUAUCUCUGCAUAUUCGUUUAACUAUUUUCUUAUCUAUUAUCAGUUUUCUCCUCCAUAAUUAUAAAUCAAAGUAAUUCAUUAGUUAUGUAAGUACUCAGAAUUUCUAGUAAUUAUUAAGAUUCUCCUGGUCAGAACAUAAACUAAUGUGUAAAAGCGAAGAGGUAGAAGAUUCAAAACAUUAGAAAAUAACACUGACCUUUUCCCUCCAUACGACGUUUAGAUUUAAGAAAAACUAGUUGGGCUGAAAAUGAUGCUCUUAAUCAUUUGAACAACUCUUUUAGAGCCCGUCUACUACGAUAAAUACAUCUCUUUGAGUUCAUGCCGUAAAUUGAGAUUUUUUUAAACCUUUUGGACUCUCCUUCACGGAAAUGAUUAUGAAACUCUAUGGAUCUAAACUUUCCUAAAAAGAUUUUCAGAGUCCAUCUAGGAUACUCUAUAUGUUAUCGACAUUUCCAAGAAAUAUAAUCGACUCAGUACAAGUAAAUGUGAAUUAAUUACAAACCAAAAUCAUGAGAUUUGACUUAAAUAAUUUGAAUAAAAGACAAAAUCAGAGUCAAAAUGGAAUCCGUUUAAUUGACGUGAUUCUGAUUGCACCACCGGACAUAUUAUCAGGGGUCAGUAAGUUGGUGCCAGAACCUCUUCGUGAUUCGUUAUCACAUUAUUUAUGUUCUCUAUCAUUUUGACUUAUUAUGGCCGAUUUUUCGAGCUUACCUGUAAGAUCAUAAACUUUCGUAAAUUUUGAUUGUCAUCUCAACCAUCAACACCUAUAAUUAGUAUAACCGUGAGUCCUUUUAUUUUUCUUCAAUAAUAGGGAGUUAUUUGCGUGAGUCCUUUUAUUUUUCUUCAAUAAUAGGGAGUUAUUUGCAUUACUUACCAUUUUUCCAUUCAUGAUUGCUUUCAAAUACACUCAUUUGCGUAAUUAGGUCAAAAAAUGUUAUGAAAACAUUUUUUUGAUACACCUAUUACUUUUGAACAGCGAACCUAGCUCUACACCUAAUGUUAUGCUAAACAGAAGGAGAAGAAAAGAUUCAACAAAAGUUCGUGGAGAAAAGGAUCGAGAUCAUGAUGCUAGCAUGGGUGAUAUGCAGAUGAUAACUGUUGCAGGCAGUGCUUCUGUCGCAAGGGGAAAGUCAUCAAGUAGAGAUUUGGGUCUCUAUGGUGAACAUUUUCACGAAGAAAGGAGACGGAUGAAAAAUUCAUUAAAGGCCCCCACAGCAGUCCUUAAAAAGAAAUUUGGCGAUUACACAUCCAGUGUUGACAAUCCAACAUCUGCAAAGCUUUCGGAUAAUAUUGUCUUGUCUCUGCCUUCAGUGCGGAAGGAAUUCCAGAGACAUAAAGCUGGUGCUUCUUCACAUUAUGAAGGUCAAAUAAAGAAGUCAUCGCUUAUUGACGAAAAUGCCAGAGCAAAUAAAGUACGGCGCAAAGAACACUAUGCAGCUGGUGAAUUUGCUGACAUGAACAGUUAUGGAAGUGUCUAUCCUACACAAACAAUAGUAAGUAUCCAUUUGUUUCGUAAAAAGUUAAGAAUUACUCUCUACAUUCUUAGCUUAUGGGUAUGAGCUUUCCUUUCGAUACAUUGAGGCUAUUAAGUUAAAAUGAUUCAGUGCUUCUCUUAACUUAGGUAAUGUAUAUGAACCAUAUAAUCUCUUUCUUUUCUUUUCGACUGUGGUUGGUAGAUUGAACUGUGACAGGUUUUCUCCUUGAACAUAUGCUUCUUUUCUGUUUUGAAGUUGCAGCAGCAUGGUGGGAACAAGUUGAAUAUUCUGUUACUUUGUUAAACUCUUUGUAGCCCUAUCCUGAGCUUUACAAUCUGUCUAGUAGGCCAGCAAAGACACUUGAUAAAGCAGAUAGUUCUCUAUUUUUGAGAUUGUUGUUUAUUAUAAUCCAAUAUACAAGUGCCGUUUUAUCCAGUUAAAUCUAAAGAUUCUAAUACAGGCAUUCAAUUACUUGUUCAUUGGAUGCCACACCAUUUGUUUUAUGCAAAAGUGUAUAUAUCUUACUAUGGAUUUGCAUAUUUGGAAAGUAGUACCUGAAUUUGAAAAUUUUGGUUUUGCGGCCUAAAUUUUCAGGACUGAUAUUUCAGAAAAUCCGUUAAGUUCCAUAAGAAGUUUUAACUAUUUCCCUCAAAAGAGUUGUAGGAUAUUCUGCAAUUAACAUAAUAUCCUGUUUAAGUUAUGAAAUUUUCAUCAGAACCAUUUGAAAUACAGUUUGAUUCUGAUGGAGACGUACUUAAAUCACACAUAUUGUGAGUCAGGCAGUUAAAUCAAAAUAUUUACAAGUCAGGUAAAAUUAAAAUGCACUAUUGUAAAGGUAUGUAUUCUUAGCUUUAUCUUAUAUUGCAUUGUUCUUGAUUCUGAUUAAACUGUUUUUUUCUGUUUGUCUUUUGCAGCAGCCAACAUAUGCUAAGGAGAAGGAAGGUUCUUCUAUGAGGCCUAAGGGCACGACACUUGAGCGAGCUAUUCGUGACCUUGAGAAGAUAGUUGCAGAGUGUAAGUUCGCCACAAGUUCUAAUCUGCUUCUUGAUUUGAGGAUUGUUUUGUCGAGUACAUUGCUGUUGGAAGAUUUGACUUCAAAGAUUCUAAGUUUUCUUACAGCCAGACCACCAAGUCAUGAUGUCCAUGUUGUGGAUCCUGCAACUCAAGGAGCUAAAAGGAGAUUGCCUCAGGAAGUAAAGCAAAAGCUUGCUAAAGUUGCGAGAUUAUCGGUAUUCUGUUGAUUUAACCUUUUCUAUUGAUUUUUGUAUGCGUAUCAGUCUGUUACCAAGGAUAUAACUGUGAAUAAAUGCUAUAUGUUCCUCUGGAAGGUCCUUCAAGAUGAGUCAACAUUGUGCACAUUGAAGCUAGUGGUUUGUUUAACUUUUUAGAUAUGAUGGCUAUGUCUAUUGUCUUGUUUGAAAUUUAAAGUUAAACCAAUCGUACAUUGCCACACUGAUUCAUCAAAAAUUGUUCUGAGAGGGACCUUCUGAGGUGCAUGCAGCAUUACCCUAAUUGUGGAACAACCCCUGCUGUUUUGGAACCUGUCGCGAAAUGUGCCAUGGCACGUGCAAUUCAGACUGUCUCCUUGGACAUUGAAACUAAAAAAAGAAGAGGAGAAAAACAAGUAUAAUGUGAAGUUUUUGUUGCUGACAUGGUACGUGCUGCUCUAUGUGGCUGUCACAGUUUGCAUGGGAAUCCUAGUUUCUACAUUGUUAAAUUUUGAAGCUAAUGGAACUUGUGACCAUCUUUGUUUUUAUAUCCUAAUUGUUCAGAAAUAUUCAUAGGUGAAGUCAAAAUACUUCAGCAACAACAUUUAACCAUCCUAUAGUGGUUCUUUCAAAAUUUCCAUUUUAUAUCCUAUAGGAUAUUUAUUGGUUUAAAGAAGAGAAAUACUUCCAAAUUACUGGUUGGAAUCUGAAUACAAAUCCACACUUCGCUGACUUUAAAGAGUAGCUAUGAAUUUUAUAGUAUUUUAUGCAGCUUUGAGGGAUGGAUUUAUGACUUGUUGCGGGAGUUAGAUCUGUGCUACUGGGUUCAAAAUUCAAAUGAUCCAUAAUUCAAAUCAUGUUUUGUUUCUUUGUCUCACUAUAUAUGUGAAAAUUUUAUUGACGCAGCUAAUUUCAACACAAAUAUGAUAUUAUAACAGAAGGUGCAUAGAAUGCAGUUAUUUGGUAGCUAAAAUGAUGAUGGGAAUUAACUUUCUGAGAACCCAUUUAAGCCACUACUCGCCUUUAGGAGUAUCCGAAUAUGUGGGUAGUAUAUAGCUUUAUAAUUCAAAGAAUUUUCUGGUAGAGUCAUAGUUGUAGCUUGUUAUUGUGAUUUCGUUUGUUUUUGGCAUUGUUGUUACUUGAGAAAUUGUUCUUGUUAUGCCUCUAGAUGGCAUCUUCGCUUCCUUCAAUCAGUAAUCUGGAUUUCCUUCUCUCUAUGGUUCAAUUGAAUGUAGUGGUUUUUAUCUGAAUUUGAAAUAUUUGUGCAAGUCUUGUACACCAUGGUCUUGCAAUGUUCUUUUAGUGCUUAUUGAAAGAUAGUAGUCAUUGUUCGUGUGGCAGCAAUGCAAACAAGAACACUCCUAUAACAAACUGACUCAUACAUGCAACUUGAACUCAACAGAAUAUAAAACCAACUCUAUGAAAUAAACUUAAAGACUGCUGGGGACUUAAUCAACACAACUUGCGCUUUUGACUAACUUGGUUGAUACGCGCUUUGAUUUAGGCUCAGAUUGGAUUCUUUAGAUUACAAAUUAAUUGGAGGUGAGAAUCAAGAUCAAGAAAAGAUGUUUUGAAUCGUUUGAUUUGAAACUAAUCAGAUUUAAUCAUGAAUUGAUUGCAUAAAUGCUAAUAAUAAAAAAGGAAAAUUAAUGAAAUCUUAUGGUGUCGAAAACAUCAAUAGUUAGGAAAAAUGUUUUGUUAGUUUUUAUUUCAUUCGUAAAACAAAACUUAAACAAUCAUAAAGAGGAAUUAUUUAGAGAGAAAGAAGAGAAUGAAGAAGACAAACAGGAGUACAAAAAAACUUUUGUUCAAUCUGUCUCAUCCAUGUAGUGAAUGAAACUCUUAAACAACUUUUUUGACUUAUUUAGAAACUCCUGACAGAAAAGGAUUUGUGCUACUAACAGCCGUUUUCCUUAUUUUCAUUCCUAUUUCGGCUUAAUUCCUUUAUACAGUUGAAACUUCUGUUGGAUCUGUUAUAAGCAACCAAAUUUUCAUUGAUAUUUUUACAGUUGAAACUUCUGUUGGAUCUGUUACAAGCAACCAAAUUUUCAUUGAUACAGGCAACACGAGGUAAAAUAUCAGAAGACGAGUUACUAGACCGCCUUAUGGGUAUUCUUGGUCAUCUGGUUCAGCGCGAGACUCUGAAGGUAAUUUUGAAAUAGAGAAGUACAAAAGCAAGUGCAAUUUGGUAUCUCUAGCCUUGAUUUCCUGCUUUUGGUUUCUUACUUAAAAUCUGCUGAAAGAUAACCUUGCGCUGUAAAAAGAGAGGCUUGCUUUGUACUCUCUAUGUGUGUAAUCCAAUUAGCAUAAUGUCAUAAGGAUAUAUAAAAGGGCGUAUAAGUAUAUCGUUAGGGUGACAAUUUAGUAGUCAAGAGAGAAGAGGAUAUAUAUGAAAGGAGAUGAAGAAUAAAGUGCUAUUUAUGCUCAAUAUUCAUCCAAAAUUAAGUAACUGCCUUAGAACAUCUUGUUAGUAUAGUUUUGUAUGUAAGUAUCACUGAUUUGAAUACUUGCGCUACUUUAGGUCUCGUAUUUUUUUAUGCAGUAUACACUAACCAAUCAUAUUUUGGUGCAGAGAAACAUUAGGCAGAUGGUUGAAUUGGGACUUUCAGCUAAACAGCAGAAGGCUGACCGAUUCCAGCAAAUAAAAAAAGAGAUCAAUGAAAUGAUCAGAGCACAUGUUUCACAGAUGCAGACGAGGGUAAACUUUAAUCAUAGAUGAUAACCCGACUUCAUUUAUCUUCCUUCUUGAAUUGUGAAAACUGAUCAGAUUUAUUUUAAUCAUUUUUGGACAAUAUUAGUUUUGGAGGUUGCAUAACAUCUGAUAUGUAUCUUGAAAUAUGAAGCUCAACUUUUUAUAUGAGGCGUCUGAAAGACUGAAAGUUUUUCAUUUCCAUUUAACAAUUAUUAUACAAGAUUUUCAUAUAUAUAUCCCAGCAAAAUCAUCUUAUACAUAUAUAUUCCCUAGAAAUCUGAAUUUUUAUAUAUGCACUUCAAAAGUGCAAUAUGAUACAAGAAGUUCCCUGAUCUUAAGUUGUGGAAUCAGCCAAUUUAAAGGGGAAUUUUGUAUCGGAUGAAAGACUUUCAAGAGCCAUACAGUCAUUAAUUUAUGGGUAUACGUGUAAAAAAAAAAUCUGAGGGGAAUUAUACCAUAUAACUAUACAGCUAUCUUUUUUUUCGACCUAAGUGUUCAUAACAUUGAAGUAUGUCUUUGCUUCACCAGGCAUCUGAACAACUGGAUGGUUCAGCUGAUGAUUUUCAGGAAGGCAUUAAUAGCAAUGUAAGAAAAGAUCUGAAAGGGAGGUAUCGCAUGGAUGCUGCUCUAGAAGACAGAAUCUGCGAUCUCUAUGAUUUGUAUGUUGAGGUACCAAAUCCAUAUCCGAGAUAUGAUAAAUUAUCUUUUCUCAAGGAUUUAACUCACUUUCCGGUCAAUCUUUAGGAAAGAGCUGCCAAAGAAGUUAAACUUUUCUUUCAGUAGAAGAAUGCUUAUAAUUGUUUGCUCACAAUAUACUUAGCCUCAUAAUUUUAUUUAAACAGCUGUAAUAUGUACAUAAUAAUUAAAAAGGUUAUCUUAUCAGUAUCUUAAUCUAUCUUUCAUCUUAGGGAAUGGAUGAAGACAAAGGCCCUCAAAGCAGGAAAUUAUAUGUUCAGGUAGUUAACAUCUCUGUUCGAUUAUAUCAUAUAUCACUUCUGCUUCCAUUUUUGUUCCAGAGAUGUUACUCACCUACCAGUGUUUGUUAAUAAUCUCGUUAUCUCUUGCCAAUGGAGUUCCCAUAUUUGUACAAUGUGUAAAAUGCAGCAGUUUAUUGAACUCUUCUUUGUGAAAUUAUGUUUAAAUACACUGUGAUAUACUGUAAGUUUAUUCUGCUCAUAAUCACAUUUUCUGUUCUGGUCCCAGCUUGCUGAGUUAUGGCCGCAUGGUUAUAUGGAUAAUGUUGGGAUCAAAGAUGCUAUAUACAGAUCGAAGGAACGCAAAAGGGCACUUUACAGGCCACACAAGGUUCUAUACUCUCAUAUAACCGUUCUAUCUACCCAUUAAUCAAUUCUACUAUUAUGGCUGCAUACACUCACAUUUUUUUUCCUGUUUAUAUACGACAAAACAUUGGUUUACCAUUUGUUAUGAUUUUUUUUGAUAUAUUUCUAUGCUCCGUUGCUGUUUCUACCCAUAAAUAGUGUUGCAAUGGUAAGUAUAGUAGUUUUUGGACCUAUAAUUUUGUUUUUUGUCAAUUUUCACUGGAAGCUGGCACCUCGUUUUGGAAGCCACUUUAUUCAUUUUAAGGAUAUAAAUCACAAGUGCUUACUAUCUAUUUAAGAAAUGCUGCUUUAUAGUGAAAAUGGAAGAUGAUAAAGGACCUAUUUAGGAAAAUUAAAACCUUUCACUGCCUGAGGUUAAGUAACUUAAAAUAGUCAUUGUUGUGUAGCUGGUUUGCACGGUUCUUCACCUAAGAUUUUGAGGUGACAAUAUGUGGUUGAAAUGAUGAAAUAGUUUCCAGUUAUUGUGAUUCAUGCGAAGAUUUUUCGCAUGUUGUCUUGAAAUUUUACGUACUUGAUAAGUGAACAGCUUAUUAGUUAGUGUUCUAUUCCUUUUUAGCUACAUUUAGACAAAUAAGUGGUAUGAAACUUUCUACAAAAGCACCUUAUCAUAUGUAUUUACAUCUAGCAAAGAAUGUACCUUGGUUCGUUUCCGUCACUCCUCAUACCUGACAUUGAUGCAUUUUCAUCGAUAAUGAAACCCUAUAAACUAUUCUACCAUCAUAUAACUAUUCUAGUUUUUUGCUGCACAAUUGCAGUUAUGUUUAUAAUAACUUGCAUUCUUAAGAGUUUCAUUCUUUUUUGGCUAGACAUGGAUUUCUAAUCAAAUCAUGUAUCUUCUUUCUAAAAUCUUUCUAUCCCUCCUAUGUUGUUUGGCAAUAUGCUCUGGUAGAAAACUUAAUUUCUAUAUAUUUACGUAAAAACAUAGAAAGCUCACCUGAACUUUGAAGAAUUAUUAUUUGACUUCCUAAUCUUUCAUUACUUUUGAUAUGAGAAAUUUCUGCUGAAGUUCUGUUCGAACUUUUAAAGUUCCCUAUAAACCAGUUACAAAACAUUUUGUCAAGUAAUAGAACUUUUCCAUUAGCUAACAAAAUAUUCUGUCAAAAAAGUUUUGCCAUCAAAUUACGGCAAAUAUGAAUUUAAAACAUUCCAUUAGUUUGUAAAAUCAAAAUGCGCUACAGUUUAGGUAAGGUCUAUACAUUUUUUUCAUCUUUUAUUUAUUCCUAUCUGGUGAAUAAUGCAUGUGCUUCAAAAUGUAGGUUCGCGACGAGGAACGGAUUAAGAGGAAAAAACUCGCCUCAGCUGUCAGGGUUGAGGUAAACAGUCAAACUAGCACUCAAGGGCGAGCCAUACAAGAGCGACCGGCUAUCGAUUCCGCUAGCCACACCAUAGUUCCUUCUAACAAGCCGCUGUCCAAUCAGCCUCUGCCUUCGCCUACUGCCGAACCCGGACUUAUCCAAGGAUCGAAAAUGAUCGACAAGGCUCAACUAGGUGGUUCAAGCGCAAUUGCCGAUUUUGAUGUGAAGAAGAAGCUGAAGAGGAAGUCGGAAUCGGAACCGGGAGAAACCCUAGUCCAUCCGCUUAAGGUUGAUGCGCAGCAUGGCAAGGAAAGAAACAAGCCUCACAAGCUGGGCGACGGUGCGAACGCGACCAACCAAGCUAAGUUGAGUCCUCAGGUAAGUGGCGGUCCUUCAGGUUCGGACCACCCGAAUUGACUUCCGUUUUUGAGGUAGCAUUUUUUUUCCCCCUUUCUUACAUGGAUGAGCUAAUGUGUUCUUUUUGUGAGCAUAGGUUGGAUGUAACAAAAAUAUUAAUGCGGUUAGGAUGUGAAUUGCUUGCUUAAUUUUCGCCUUGUUUGUUUUAGAGUUUUGUUCUCUUUGCUUUCAUUUAUUUAAUUUCCUCUUCUGUUGUAGGUGCAGUUGUUCUUCUUUCUUUUUUUCUUUUUCAUUGUUUUGGGAAGAAACCUGUUACAUAGCUUUAGCCAUUCUACAGCUGAUAUCUACAAGGAGAAAGUAUGUUUGAAGUUAUCAUUUUUGUCCCUUCUAUUCUCGCUUGAUUUCAAUUCAACAAAGAAAAAUGCUUCUCCCAAAGGGCGGCGAUCGGUUUUAGGAUAUGUGAGGCAUACGCUGUCGGUGCUGCAUACUUGUAAAGUGCGAGCAAGUAUAGGCCCUGUUUGGAUACAUAUAUUUUCAAUGCGAAGGUGAGGAGUUGCGGGAUCUUAACUUCGCACCCUAUCAGUGCGAAGUAGAGGUCACCUGCGGUACCAAAAUUCUGUGCCUCUCACAUUAUUGUGUAGCAAAAAAGCAGGCUGUUCUUCGAGAGCUCCGCCGUCAAUCCAACUGCAGGCCAAUCUGAUCUCCAGGCCAAAUGGAGAUUCAUUUGCCAUUUUACGUGUUUCCAACUAACUCUGUAUUAGUACUUAAAAGCAGAAGGAAAUGGUUGACUGUAAUAGAUCUGUCAUACAUGGGUCAGUAGUGUGGUUCAAACAGGAAAAUCUAAUUCGAGCUGUUUGAGGAAGCACCAAAAACUUUCGCAUUACAAUACUACUUUGCAGCAGCAAAAACAGGAAAAUCAAACUCGUUAUAAGACUUGCUUUUAAGAUUUAAAAGCUUAUUUUAACUCUCUAACUAUAACAAAAGCUCAAAACUUCUCAUUCACGCAGCAUCGAACUGCUUCUGCAAGGGGCACAAUCCCAAGCUGGCCUUUCAACCAAACCCCAGCAUGAAUAAUUCACCACACAGCAAUAUGCUGCAUGUAUUUACUGUGACAACCCUUGCCAAGUAAAGAACUAUUCCAUACAUAAAGAAAGCAAACUCAUCAAAUCCAACAAAACCAAACAAACAAGGAGUUAGUCCCUAAAGAUGAUAUAAACAACGAGGGCGAAUUGUACACUCCGCGAGAAGGUAUUUGUACAUAAUAUUAUGAGUACAAAGGAGAUAGCACGGUUCAACUCGUUUCGGCUUCUCAAAGCUCUUUGUGCAGAGCUUCUGCUUCUUCAGAUACAAAUAGCUUCACAUCUGCAGCAUUUGAUGAUAGCUUAGAAAGCCUCGAUAUGAUAAGGCGUGCGACGUUUUCGGCUGCAACUGCGCUGGCUUCUAUUGCACUGGCCGCGCUCUCGAAGGAGUUUAUGUAGUAUAAGUGCUUCCCGUCUAAAAUAAUUGGCGCGAAGACUUCUGGAGCUUUAUAAUGAGGAUAUGCUGGCCAAUUAAUGCGAACAGUUUCGGUCCUCGUGCUGCAAAUUUAUCACCAAGAACAACGUCGGUUAGUACUGGUCUAUUGAAACUACGAGAUCACUUAAAACAUAGCUUGUUUUAGUAAGCCCUUCAAAAUUUUCUUCUAACCAACAUCCAUUUAUUUUUCUUUUAUUUAUUUAUUUAUUUUUCUCUUUGAGUGUUUCCAUCUAUUGAAGUGGAUUUGAUACUAGGAAAUAACUACAAUCUCAGCAUAGGUUUUCGCAUGAUCAUUCUUAUGGUAUCAAAACUACCAUUAAUUGUAACAGCAAAUCCAUUGAAAUAGACAGAAUUCCUCGAACUUGCGCAAAGAAAACAAUCAUAGCUGACGGCUGAUAAACAAAAAAAUUAAUUAUUCUUACAAUGACUUUAGUCUGAAGGAUUUUGUAAUUAAUUACCUAGCAGUUUUUCUCUCCUAUUUGUCUGAAAGUGAAAUUGAUUUCCUUAAUUACCUGAAAAUUUGAUCCAGUAAACCAUCAUCCAGCGGAGCACGAGAGAACAACUUGUAAGUCGCGUCUCCUUCGCUAUACUUCUUCAGGACAGAGAGGCUGGAGAAAGGGAUAUCAGAGAGCUCAAGAGUGCCCACAAGGUCCGGGAUUUCCAAUGCAGAUUUUAAGCCAAAAUAUUUCUGGAAAAUAACCAUGAAUUUAUCAGCCAAUGAUCCUAACAAAUUGCCGUUGAAACAGAAGCGUUUCAAAUGCUAAGGCAAAAUGGUAUUUGUAAUACUUAUUGAUCGAAAUCCUCUGCAAUUGGUGUUUUGAGCAUUGAGUAUAUAGGUUACAGUCUACUGCUGAAUAGCAAAAAACUAGAGUCAAAUUCAGGUUUAGGUAAAACAAUACAGGUUGCCCUCGAACUUCCAGCAAAUUAUUUCUAGCAAAGUAAUUCCCACGUGGAUUAUUGUCAAAAGUUUCUAACCUCUGCUAAGAGUUGUCCUCAUCAAGUAACAAAAGAAAGAGAUUUUGUUGGGCAAAUUAAGCUUCGGAUGAUUCUGUAAAUCAUUAAAAUAGUUCAGGACUAGUCCACUUCACUGAAAGAAUUUAGACCAAAUUGCAAUACGUCUAAACUUUUGGGGCUACCAAUACACUUUACCCUCCAGAUAUACCAGAACAUGUAAAGAGAACACUCACAGGGUUCAAAAGGCCCCUCACGAAUGUUGUAUAUGUAUGUUGAAGCUUUCGAGGUGGAAGAGAGACCACAGGAUCAAAUGUGAUGUUCAGCUCAUCGAGUGGCGUAGCGAUCACAGUGACAUCACAAUUGUACUCAUUCCCUUGCGCAGAUUUGAGCACAUAAUAGCCUUCUGCAUCAGAGAUGGAAAUUAUCUCUUCAUGGAGGUGCAAUGUGGCAUUCGCAUGCUUAAUAAGUCCUGUCGCCAGCAGGCGGUUUCCCCCCUUCACGGCCCACAAGCCUGAUUCAGAGCCUGCUAGGGACACUGCACCUGCUAGCCCGCUUAUGCUCACACUCUGACCGUAGUUGACUCUUGUAAUUACCUGUAGAUGGAACCAAUGUAUAUAUUUCCGGUCAGAAGGAGAGGCGUGCAACAUUUGAUCUAAACCAAAUUACUGAACUAAAUCGAGUCAUUUAUGUUAAUUGUUGGUUCAGGUAAUCAGGUGGGAGGUGUGCAGAAUGCAUGAACACGCAGAUGUGCAUGCGCCCACCCACCUUCCCACCCUAGCGCGUAUAUUAGCGGUCAACUGUGAGAUAAUGAUUGAAAAGCUAUAGUAGUUAACCACUAUACUUGUCAGACUAAAGCUUUAACCGACAGAAUCAGUCGAUACCUUUUAUAUAAAAGGCAGCAAUUCGGUCACAAAUCCAGACCGGAUAAACCAACUGAAAGAAUACCAUUUUCGGAUCAGUUUGGCUUAUGCCAACAAUAUAAAAGCAUUGACUUUCAUCAGAACAUGCCGUAUGAUUAAUAUUGGACAGCCACCAUGACAGUGAGCUGAACCUUUCUUCUAUAUAAACUAAUUGCUAACCCAAAAUCAAAAAAAAAAAAAAAAAUCAGAAAGAUUUUACAAUCUAGAAGCAUCUACUCGUUGCUUUAGAAACUAUCGCAAGGCAAAAGUGUGUUAUAAGAAUUGUUAGCUCAGCGAUUAAGCUUACAGAAGAAAUCUUCAUUGUGCUUCCACUUUAUAUGUAACAAAGACACGGAGAUAAAAAUGAUGGUUUAAACUGCCAUUUUGUUUAUGAUAAGAUCGUAAGAAAUAACUGCUUUUGACAACUGCUCAUUUCUAUUAAUAUUGUGAUGUCUUUCUAUUCCAGUAGAAAAUAAACCUCAAAAAAGUAUACCCAAAAAAGGAAAGAAAUUUACACCAAUGAUUGCAAACGUUGAUAACACUAAGAAUCAAACGUCUAUUCAGGCGGUUUCGGAUUAAAUCACAGGAGUUCAUAAAAAAAAAACAGAAUAAGAAAAGGGAAAAUCUUGCAGUUAUAAGAGGAGUAAAUACAAGAAAUAUAACAGAAAAAGCCAAGCAACUUACAGUUACAAGUUCUGAAAUUGUGCGGGAAUUCAACCCAGCAUCUACGAGUUCCUCCUCGAGAGUCCGUUGCGUGAGUCCAUAAAGAUCCGUCCAUUUCAGCAUCUCCUCCACUGUCUCGAACACAGGCCGUGAUUCAAAGCCAUUGUAAAAGAGCAUGAAUCUUUCCAACAUUUUCUAACCCACCAAAAAAAACCCAUAUGCAUCAAAAUGAGCAAGAUGACAUACAAACAGAGAAAACAGGUAUAUUGCAUGAGGUUUACUCAGACUUUUAGCAAAAAUUCCAAUUUAGUCCUCAACCUUUCGACUGGUGCACUUUAGUUCCUAAUUUCUAUACCCUGUUAGAAGUUAAGUCCACCUUAGUCCUUCAAUCAGACUUCUAUUAAAAUGACCACAAGCCUCUUACAACUGACUUGUAAGUGGUUAAACCUACAUAAUUAGAAGAAUCCAAGCAUUGCAUAUGGAAUUGCAUUACUUUGUUGUUGAGAGACAUGAAAAAAAAUGUCAAAAAGAUGUGUUAGAAAGAAUAGGUUAAUCCUAGUUUUAAGGUAUCACCUCAAAAGUGGAACAAGGUAUCUUAGAAAAAUAUGAGUAGUCCCUGCAAUGAACUAAAAUCAAAAUGUUAUACCUUAAUUACUAAUGAAUACCAUUAUCCAAACAAAAUACCCUCAUCCAACAAAACUUACCUUAGUCCAGCUUGUUCCAAAAUCCAAACAAAAACUGCAUAUCGACUACAUGGAUAUUUGGCCUAUUUUAACAGAAGAAUUUAACUAAAAAGACUAUAAUUCGAGUACAACAUAAAAGUUAAGGAUUCGAUUGCAAAGAGUUGAAAGGCAAAGGACCAAUCUCAAAUUGUGCCCAACAGAAGGUUUAAAAGAGAAAUUCUACCGGUACACCUUAAAGUGGGGUGUACAUCUUAUACCCACUCGAUCCAAAGGCCACUAAUUCUCUACUUGUCACAUCAAACUUUUUUUGUUUUUACUAAAAACCAUUUGUUUUUGUGAACGGUAGGAUACGGGGUGUAAGAUCUAUGCCCCUUUUGGAGUAUACAAGAAGAAUUUCUUGGUUUAAAAUGCAUGCAGACGCCCUCAAAUGUACACCGUUCUAAAAUAGGCCCCUGAACUAUAUUUGUUAGGAUUAACCCCUCAAUUUUUUCUUUGUUUUCGUCAAUUGAAUUGAAAACUACAUUAAACUCUAUACGAAAGGAGAAACCAAAUGGCGUUCCAUCGUUAAGCCACGUCGCUUUUUGUUAAUACGAGUUCCUAUGGGUGUAUUAAUUUUUUUUUCUCUUUCUCCUUUUCUCAUGGGUUCUAUGUACUCAUCUCUCUCUCACAGAGAAAAAUGUAUUUACCUCUUUUAUAUAUCUCUCUCUUCUAUUAAAACUUUCAUCUCUCCCUCUCUCUUCCCUCUCUCUCUCUCUAUAAUUUUUGUAACGCAACACACAAACAAAGGAACUCAGGAAAAGAAAAAAACACAGAGAGAGAAGCAGUAAAAGGGUGGUAAAAAGAGAGAGGGAAUUGGUUUGCUCCCUGUUUUUCCCCCCUUUUUCUAAAAUUAUUUAAAGCUGUUUUAGCAUUUAGGGUCGGCUUAAAUUUUAGUUUUUUAAUGAAAAUUUUCUCUAAAUUUGUUUUGAUUUGGUGAAGAAAAAGAGUUUAUCGAAAAACAGAAUUCCGUCGUUAAGCCACAUUGCCUUUUUUAAAAUUUGAAGUUUUAAUUCCUGUGAAUAUAUUAUUUUUUUCUCACUCUCUCUCUCUCUCUUUCGCAUAGGCUCUCCCUCCCUUUUGCAUGGGCUCUUCCUCCCUUUCGCAUGGGCUCUCUAUACUUACAUCUCUCGCUCACAGAGGGAAUGUGUUUCCCUCUUCUACAUAUCUCUUCCUAAUAAAACUUUCAUCUCUCCCUCUCUCUUCCCUCUCUCUACAAUUUUUUCUAAACUUAUCUAGGGAGUUUAGUGGUGGUGGUUAAGACCCAACACACACACACACACACACACACACACACACACACAGAGCUGGAAGAAAAAACACAAAAAGAGAGAAGAAUUAGUGAAAAGGUGGUAAAGAGAGGGAGGGGAUUGGUUUGCUCCCAAUAUUUUCCUUUUUUUAAAAAAAAAAAUUAUUUUAAGUUGUUUUUGCGUUUACGGCCUGCUUAAAUUUUUUUUUUUAUGAAAUUUUUUUUCUAAUUUGUUUUCAUCGGAAUCCUGAACGAUGGCGAACCCUGGCGGCGGCAGCGGAGGGCACAAAGGGAACAACUUGGUGGUGGCGUGGUUUUUUUUUUUUUUACCUUUUCUUCGGGUUAUACUGUCAUUUUUUUUCCCUUUUUUUUUCUUUUCAUGGUGGCAGCGUUUGUCUUGAAUGGUUUCUUUAUAUAUCUUUGUCAAUCAAUUUUGAUGUGGGCUUUCUUCUCAGACAUUGAAAUUUGAUUUGGGUUUAUUGGCCCUUUCUGCUUUUAGUUGGAAGACCUCUUGACAAAGCAAAGUGGAAAGAACAUAGUAUUAUUAUGUAGUCUAGAGUAAAUUAAGUUGGCUUCUUUUGUUUGAUCUUUAGUACCUUCCUUUAUUUCCUUUGGUAUUUUAACAGAUUGUUAGUUGUUAUUACUCUUAGGUUUCAGCUAUCUUUUAAUCUUUUGGUACAAUUGAGGUCUCCAAGUUUUUUUUUUUUUACUUCUUUUUUUUUUUUCCUGCAGGAAGUGAAGAAGCGGUUUAUAUACCUCAGGAAGAUUAGAUGUGCGGUCAAUUAAAUUUGUGCAGUGAAUUGUAGAGUGAUCUCAUCUUAAAAAACUCUGAAUCGGCACAGUCGGUAUGGAAAUUGGAUGCCAUGUUCAUAGUAGCCGUGAUGUACUUGAAUUCGAAGAUGAACUUAAGGGUGCGUUUGGUUCAUGUUAUCUUUUUCAGAUUCCUAGUAAUCCAAUAGAAAUAAAAAAAAUAUAACGGUGUUUGGCUAAACGCACUAAGUAAUCUAGUUGGUAAUACUGGAUUUACUUGGGAAUAAGAUGCAUCCCAAAGUACUAAUCUCAUUCCUUUGAGGGAGGAUGGGUAUUCUUAUAUUAAUGGAUUGGAGUAAUUAUAAUAUGUCUAAUCUCUUUCUUUCUCCCUACCCGCUGGCUAGUUGGUAUUAUUUUCUUAACACUCUAACCUCAUAUCUCUCUCUAAACUAAUCUUUUUCUCUCUCUAAACUUCAACUCUUUUUCUCUCUCUAAAUUAAGCUAUUUCUCCCCCUCUUUGUCUAAAAUCUCAACCCUCUCAUUCUCUCUAACUUUGACUCUAUUUCUCUUCUUAUUUUUUAAUUAUGAUCUCUCUUUCUAAUCUAUAUUCUCUCUCUCUUUUUUCUAAAAAGAUGCUAAAAUUUUUUAUAAUAUUAUUUAAAAUUAAUUAAAUAAAUAAAUUAAUUAAUUGUAUAUUUUUUGUAAUUUUAAAUAACAUGACUAAAUAAUAUGACCGUACGAACCAAAUACCGAAAUACUACAUUCUUAGUAAUAGGAUGAAUAGGAAUAAGAUUCUCGAAUAUCUUUUUACUCCUACUAAUCUUUCAUAGUGCGAACCAAACGCGCCAUAAACUUCAAGAACCAACAUUAUACACGCCGAGAACUGCUAAUUUUAGCAGAUAAAUAAAAAAAAGGUAUCAUUAUGUUUUUGUGCUAAUCACUGCACUCUGACUCAAAGAAAAACUCAAAUUAGCUCCCGGCGUUAUUAGCUCCCGCCGCGAGUAGCGAGACAUUACACUAGUUAAAAAUUAAACAGUGAUUCUAUUUUUCCUCUCUCAAAAUUAAUGACUCUACAAUCUGACUACUUUCCAUCCUUUCCAUGCGAUUAUUUCGUUAAUAAUUGACAAUCGAUAACACAUCUCAAAUUAUAUUGCUUAUAGCAACUCAAAUAAAAAGUAAAUCAAAAAGAAGAAGUGGAACUGUGGAAGGGUCUAUUACAAAAAGAUAAACAGUUUAGGGCAUAUUCAUUCAAUUUGCAAGCAAAAAGGAGAGAGAUGAAAUUGAGGAAGAAGAAGAAGAAGACCUUAACGAAGCGAUCCAUCCGAAGGAGAGAGAGCCCAUAGCGACGGAAGACGAGAAGCGAGUUGAGGAGCUCGUGAAGUUUCCAAUACAGGGACCCACUCGACGGGGGAGGCGGCGCUAGGGUUUUGAACACGAAGCUCGACCCGUCCCAAAUCCCCAGCCAGGAGUCAUCGCCGUCGUCGUCGGGCCUAUGGCUCAGGCCGAGGAGCGCGGCGAAGCGCGCGGCGUGGAGGUUCCGGGGGUGGAUGAUGGAGGCGCCGGCCUCGAACUCGUCGCCGGCGACGGAGACGGUGGCGGUGCGGCCCCCGGCGACGUCGCGCCGCUCGAAGACGCGGAUGUCGUCGACGCAAGGGGAAGGGGAGGGAUGUGGCCAUGGCGAUGAGUUGAGUGGUCAACGUAUAGAACGUACAUAGAGUGAGUUUCUCUCGUACUCUUUUUUUCAAAAUAAUCCAAUAAAAUUUCCUAAUUAAAUAAAGCACCCAAUUUUUUUGGCAACUAAUUCUUCUAUUGUCGUAUAUAAGAGUUGUAAUAAAAUUUUCUCUUUAAAAACAAGUGAAUUAUUUACCAUUUUUUUAAUUUUUCACAAAAAUAAUUAAAUUUAUAUUAAUUUGAAUAUUUUUUAUUCCGAUUAUAAUUUGAACAUUCUUUCAAUCAAUUUAGGCCUUUUUGCAUAAAAAAUUCACUUAUUUUGGACUUUUGCAAAAUCGGGUCACUUUUUUCGUUUUUGCAGAUUCGGUCCGUUUUUGCAGUAAACUGACCAAAAUACCCUUAUUAUUUUUUCUCUUUCCUCUUUGUCUCUCCUCUUCGUUUCUUNUCAUCGCCGUCGUCGUCGGGCCUAUGGCUCAGGCCGAGGAGCGCGGCGAAGCGCGCGGCGUGGAGGUUCCGGGGGUGGAUGAUGGAGGCGCCGGCCUCGAACUCGUCGCCGGCGACGGAGACGGUGGCGGUGCGGCCCCCGGCGACGUCGCGCCGCUCGAAGACGCGGAUGUCGUCGACGCAAGGUGCCGCCGCGGCGGCGGCGGCGCCGGGGGAGGUGGUAGUGGUGGUGCAGGUGUACUGUUUGAGGAAAUGCGAGGCCGAGGCGCCGCCGAUGCCGCUACCAACGACGCACACCUUGGGAGAGGAGGAGGAGGAGGAGGAGGAGGUGGUGGUUAUGGUCGAGAGGAGGAGGAGGAGGGGGAGGAGGGGGAAGGGGAAGGGGAGGGAUGUGGCCAUGGCGAUGAGUUGAGUGGUCAACGUAUAGAACGUACAUAGAGNNNNNNNNNNNNNNNNNNNNNNNNNGCCUAGGGCUGAUCCGUCCUGCAGAGCUCAUCCUCCAAGAAGUUGAGACACUCAAACCGAGUGUCUCGAUGCAGAUACAUCGGAUGCAGGCACUCAUUGAAGUUGCACAAUUUCAUUCAUGUACACUUGUGCGAGCCUUCUUCUCUGCGUCGCCCCCCCCCCGCAGGUCGUCAUGAAUGAGAAGUAUGUAAGUGCGACCGACUUCGUCAACCUAUCCACGAUCACCCAAAUGAGCGAUCAUGCCGCCGCCUGUUGAGCGUGGCAAUCCUGUCCAGCAAAGUCGCACCACCGUAACCCCUCCUCGCCCCUGUGUCCCUCCGUUUCUGGAUCUUAAUGUGCCACUUCGCCACCUCGGAAUAGUGCUCACACUGUCUCUCGCAGCUUCCCCCGGUGCGGGUCGAAGGCUCGCGUGCCUGCUGCCUUGCGAACUGUGAUCUUGUUGGCAACGUUACGGAGCAUUUAGCAGGACAAACUCGCAACAUGCCUUUUUGAUUCGGCCGGGCCACCAAUUUUAGGGCGAGCAUAUACGUGUUUAUGUCCUCUACCGUCAUCUUUUCGGCUCGCCGUCCCCGGGUGUAUUAGCACUCUAGCAAGCUGCGAAUGGCCGUCGGUGCGCUUCUUGGCAAGCACAAUACUCUUCUUUCGAAUCCCCCGAUAUCGCGGCUAUACUAAAUUCGGCUGCCGACGGAAACGCUUCAAUCCCUGUAUCGUUCCAGAAAAGGAAGUCGCCAGUGCAACAUCACCAUUUUUCUCUAAUCUUUGCAAUCUCCACACGGGAAGCAUUAGCUAAAUUUUCUUUAAUUCUCACUCCGCGCUCGCGCUCUCUCGCUAACCAAGAGUCUUCAAUCCGAGAAUCUCUUAAGGUUGUGUCAGGAAGGUCACCACCUCCAGGACUUCAACGGCUUAUCUGCUCGAUCACUGCGGAUAGCAUUGCUUCAGUCAGAGCAUCUCGUCUGCAUCUGCCUAAGUUUUCACUCCGAUUUCAUAUGGUGAGCGUCAUCUGCAUGGAGGUCCCACACGUUAGCCUUGCCUGCCGAUCGCUCGCCUCUUGUCAGUAUAAGAGCUCAGUCAGAUCAAGUCCGCCGCCGAGCCCCUCGCUGCCUCUCUCCGGCCGCCAGCCUGCCGAGCCCACCGCCACCGUCGUCUCCGUCGCGCCCGUCGGCCGUCGCCGAUACCCACGUCCGCCCUUGCCGGACCGCGCUCGUCAUCCCUCCAAUCGCCUCCGUCACUAUCCCUUGCUGAAGCCCUCGUCGACCCCUACCGUCGUCUCCGUCGCCGGUCACCUGUCGUCUCCGUUGCCGUCGCAAGCCCCGCUCCAUUAUGGGCCUUAAUGGGUGCAUCCAUUGCCACCAUUACACCAUCACAUAAAUGUCGUGUUUUAACUGCCCUCUUAAUUCAAUUUCGUCAGUUAUAUUUUGUUUAAAUUUUGCAAUGGUCACCAUUAACACUAUGUUUGACAGCCAUUUACACCAUUUACACUAUGGAAAUACACCAUUAAUGUUAAUGUGCAUAUUACACUAUGAAGAAGAAGAAGAACGAGCCAGAAGUGCCGCUGGCGCCGCCGCCCUGAAAUGCUGUGACACGCGCCCCGACCGCCGAACCCGGCCUCGUCCGCACCGCGGGCUGCGCGUCUCGGCCAGGAGUAAGCCGCGAUCAAGGCCUCUCCCGCCGCAAGCGGGCGGUACGUCGGCCGGCGGCCGAGGAUCCGGGCGGCUCGGACCUGUCACGACGCGAACGUCUGGCAGUAGCUGGACGAGGUCCGGCCGCUUGCCGAUGGCCUGGUGGCAGGCGUCGUGCAUCGCUAUAGUCGACGCGUCGCCCGGGCGCCGUUCGCGUCGCUCGCAUCUAACGCUGGCGAUUGCGACGAACCUCCGCCUAAGCCUCUUCUCAACGUCGCCGCGCACGACGACGUACACCGCGGCGGAACGGAAUGCAGGCUCGUGCAGACCGAGAUGACCGGUGACGGCGCCAAUAAGCCGCCGGCCGCCCAUUGCCUCGGUAACCUGGGUCAGCAACGCGACGGAUAGACGGCUGUGGAGUUGGGGUGGGCUCGGCGGCGGCGGCGGGGGAGAGGAGGAGGGGUCGCGGGCGGUGGAGAGGAGGGUAAGGAGGGAGGCAACGGUGAAGAAGGAGGGUGAGGAGGGAGGCGACGGUCCGAUCCGCCUUUUUUUUUUGGCGAGAAAAAAAAAAGAACGACAGAAACGAAGAUGAGAGAGAAAGAGGAAAGAGAAAAAGUAAUAAGGGUAUUUUGGUCAGUUUGAUGAAAAAGCGGACCGAAUCUGCAAAAAUGAAAAAAGUGGCCCGAUUUUGCAAAAGUCCAAAAUAAGUGGAUUUUUUAUGCAAACUGGCCAUCAAUUUAUGUUAUCAUCUACUUUUUAUUUUAAUUGAUCAACUUUAAUUUAUUUUUUUAUUAAUUGAAAGGGCGUAAAUAAUAAUCGACUUGAUGGAUAAAAUAGAUAUUUUAUCAUAUUUUUAAAUAAAAUAUUAACAAUAUGAAUAAUUUUGAUAUUUUUAAAAUUUAAAUAUACUUUUAAUAUUUACAACUUAUUGUGAGCGGAAGACAAAAUUAAGAGAGUGUUUGGUUCGGUGUAAAAUGAAUCGAAAAAUUAUUUUUAAUAUAAAAAUUAUUUUUUCACUUGUUUGGUUCGAUUUUAAAAUUUUUUUAUAAAAUUAUGUAUUUCUGAAAAUUUUGAAUUUUUUAUUUUACGCUCUUUUUUGACUGAAAACAAAAACGCAAGUUGCAUAAAAUUUUUUUCUAUUUAUUGUUUUCAACAAACCAAACAAAUAUAAUUUUUUUUUGGCCAAUUUGCAUAAAAAAUCCACUAGUUUUGGGCUUUUGCAAAACCGGGCCACAUUUUUCGUUUUUGCAGAUUCGGCCCAAUUUUUCAGCAAACUGAUCAAAAUACCCUUAUUACUUUUUCUCUCUCCUCUUUUUUUUUCUCUCGUUUUUUUGUUUUCUCUCUCUAAAGAAUGCAGCGAUGGCGGAGGCGGAAACGGCCUGCCUCGCCGCUCACCCUCAUGCUCUCGCUCUCACUCACGCACCCUGCGCCUUCCUCGUCUCCGACCCCGUCGAGACUCCACCGCGACUCUUUUUUUUUCCCUCUCCGACCCUCCUCCACCGCCUCCGAUGACGACGCCUCUCUCGCCCUUUCCCGCUUUUCUCGCCCUUUCCCUGUCCCUCCUCCUUCGUUUCUUUCGCCACUUCCGACGACGAUGCCUCUCUGCCGACGCCGACACCGUGAAGGUCGUUGCGACGCCGCAGUCUCGAAACGGGAAGUCCUUAGCGACGUCAUCGCCGGCGUAGUGGUCAUUGGCAGAGAGGUAUGACAAAAAAAAUUAUAGAAAAAUAAUAAUAAAAAAAUAAAGACAAAAAAAAUAGAAGAAGAAAUAAAAAGAUGAAAUUGCACUGUUUAAAAAAAAAUUGCAUUGUUUUAAAAAUUUUUGCAUUGUUUUAAAUAAAAAUUACACUCUUUGAAAAAAAAUUACACUCUUUGAAAUCAAAUUACACUAUUUAGAACAAAGUUGCACUAUUUUGACAGAAUUAAUAUUAUUUCUUUUUCUAUUUUUCAUACUAUUUCUCUUCCAUUCUUCUUCCUUUUUCUCCUUCCUCUCGUCCUCAUUCUCAUCCUCCACCUCCAGAGAAGAGGGUUGGAGGGGCGGUGGUAGCGCAGGAGCGAGCGCACGUCGUCGGGGAACCCUGUGGCGCGCAUCCAUCACAACCACGCCGUCGGCCCCUCCUCUGCCGCCGUCGUCCUCCACGCUCACCGCGUGCGCCCGUGCGCAGCUCCCCGCCACCGCGCGCUCUCUGCCCGCAGCCCUCUUUUUCGCCGUCGCGGCCGACUCCGCCGCGUCGCAUCGCUGGUUUAGGACGUAGAUGUAUAACUUCAUUUUGCAACUACUUACAAGCUCCAACGCAACGCAGAUGUAGAUGAAUAAAACUUUAUUAUAUAUAAGUUCGUCCAUAUAUAGAUAAUUUCACACACUAAGAGCGUGUUUGGAUCGCUAAAUAUUAACCCCAGAAUUGGAAUCGGAAUGAUCCAUGUCGAUUCUAGACGUUUGGUACGCCGUAAUCUCAUUCCGAUUCCGUUUCUAUUCUGGAAUGGGAAUCGGCUAAUCAGGGUAGAAACGAAUCCGGCCUCUCGAUUGAUAAAAUUAUCUGGCCGGGCUUCGUGCCGGGCCGGGCCGUGCCGGGCACGGAAGGCCCGGCUUCCCGGCACGGCCCGGUCUCCGAUCCGUCGAACCCGGGCCGUGCCGUGCCGGGCUUUAACUUCCGCCCGGCCCGGCACGGCCGGUGAUCGGGCAAAGCCGGGCCUUUUACACCCGGCCGUGCCGGGUGUAAUGUGGGGAUUCGCGCCAGUCCCUCUCAACUCGCCAGUCCUUCUCCGCUCCCACCUAAAAAAAAAAAAAAAAGAAUUCAACAUACCUACUUCCAAUAAAAUCAUAUUUUAUUAAUUCAGCCCUAAGUUAAAAAUUAGGCCCCAUNNNNNNNNNNNNNNNNNNNNNNNNNNNNNNNNNNNNNNNNNNNNNNNNNNNNNNNNNNNNNNNNNNNNNNNNNNNNNNNNNNNNNNNNNNNNNNNNNNNNNNNNNNNNNNNNNNNNNNNNNNNNNNNNNNNNNNNNNNNNNNNNNNNNNNNNNNNNNNNNNNNNNNNNNNNNNNNNNNNNNNNNNNNNNNNNNNNNNNNNNNNNNNNNNNNNNNNNNNNNNNNNNNNNNNNNNNNNNNNNNNNNNNNNNNNNNNNNNNNNNNNNNNNNNNNNNNNNNNNNNNNNNNNNNNNNNNNNNNNNNNNNNNNNNNNNNNNNNNNNNNNNNNNNNNNNNNNNNNNNNNNNNNNNNNNNNNNNNNNNNNNNNNNNNNNNNNNNNNNNNNNNNNNNNNNNNNNNNNNNNNNNNNNNNNNNNNNNNNNNNNNNNNNNNNNNNNNNNNNNNNNNNNNNNNNNNNNNNNNNNNNNNNNNNNNNNNNNNNNNNNNNNNNNNNNNNNNNNNNNNNNNNNNNNNNNNNNNNNNNNNNNNNNNNNNNNNNNNNNNNNNNNNNNNNNNNNNNNNNNNNNNNNNNNNNNNNNNNNNNNNNNNNNNNNNNNNNNNNNNNNNNNNNNNNNNNNNNNNNNNNNNNNNNNNNNNNNNNNNNNNNNNNNNNNNNNNNNNNNNNNNNNNNNNNNNNNNNNNNNNNNNNNNNNNNNNNNNNNNNNNNNNNNNNNNNNNNNNNNNNNNNNNNNNNNNNNNNNNNNNNNNNNNNNNNNNNNNNNNNNNNNNNNNNNNNNNNNNNNNNNNNNNNNNNNNNNNNNNNNNNNNNNNNNNNNNNNNNNNNNNNNNNNNNNNNNNNNNNNNNNNNNNNNNNNNNNNNNNNNNNNNNNNNNNNNNNNNNNNNNNNNNNNNNNNNNNNNNNNNNNNNNNNNNNNNNNNNNNNNNNNNNNNNNNNNNNNNNNNNNNNNNNNNNNNNNNNNNNNNNNNNNNNNNNNNNNNNNNNNNNNNNNNNNNNNNNNNNNNNNNNNNNNNNNNNNNNNNNNNNNNNNNNNNNNNNNNNNNNNNNNNNNNNNNNNNNNNNNNNNNNNNNNNNNNNNNNNNNNNNNNNNNNNNNNNNNNNNNNNNNNNNNNNNNNNNNNNNNNCCACCACACACACACACAAAAAAUUAAAUUAAGUUUUAAUUUGUUAAAUUGAUCAGAACCAUGUGAUUUUUUUUAUGACCAUGUUAUUUUCUUUUUUUUGUGUAAUAAAAUAUAAAAAUCGAUGUUUGCGUCCGGUUUGAGGGGCUCAACGCGACACGCUGCGGACGGUGGCGCACACUGCGCGGGCCCGGCCCGCUGCAGACUCGGGCGCGCAUCCCUGCGCACGGCGCAGGCUCGGCCUGCUGCUGGAGCGCGCUAGGGCACGCACCCGAGCAGGCGCGGCCCGUUGCGGCCGCAGAUCGCACCCGAGCGCACCGCGCCGCGUGCGCGGUCUGAACCCGCGAGCAGACUGCGCGGGCCCGGCCCGCUGCAGGCACAGGCGCGCAACCCCGCGCACCGCGCGGGCCCGGCCUGCUGCGGGAGCGGGGCGCACCCGAGCCCACUGCACAGGCCCGGCCUGCUGUGGGCGCCGCGGACACCCGCCCGCGCAGGCUCGGCCCGCUGCGGAAGCGGGCGCGUCCCCGCGCGCAUCGCAGGGGCCCGGACGGCUGCGCGCCCAGCGCGCACCUGCGCGCACAGCGCGGGCUCGGCCUGCUGCGGACGUGGGCGCGCCCGGUGUGUGUCGCACCGGCCCGGCCCGCUGCGAGAGCGAGGCACACCCGCCCGCACCGUGCGGCCCGGCCCGCUGAGGAGGGGGGGGCACCCGCCCGCUUUGUGCGGCCCGGCCUGCUGCGGAGCUGGGCUCACCCGCCUGCACAGUGCGGGCCCUGGCCCGCUGCGGGUGGGUACCCGCCGGCAGUGCAGGGGGCCUGCGGACCCGGCCCCAGCCCGCCGCGUGCUGUGGGCGAUUUUGCAGGCCCAGCCCGGCCUGCUGCACGCAGGAAAGCGACCCUGCGUGCCCAGCCCGGCUCGCAGCGCAGAGAUAAUUUCUUUAAAAAUUGAUAAUAAUAAUAAAAAUCCUCUGUGGAUAUUUUUAUUUCCUGCAUGAUAUUUGAUAUAUAUAUUUCCUGCGUAAUAUUUUUUGGAUACUUAUUAUGCCAUUUUUUUUAGAAUAUGCAUGUGUUGUUUAUCCUAUGUGGGUGUUUUUUUGCUUAUGUAGCAUAAUAUUUUAUUGGCAUAUAAGUACUUAUGUUAUUCGGUGAUUUUUUAACAAAAUUUAAUUUUGGAAAGACGGGUUCGACGUGUGCAGCAUUCCUGUAGAAUAUUUAUUUUCUGAUGUACAUCUUGUAGUGAUGUAGUAGGUUUUAAUUAUGAAAAAGGUGAUGUAAUAAUUAAGGCCAUGUAAAGGAAUGUGUUUUGCGCAGUGUCGACGUUUUUCAAAUUAAAUUUUGGCCUAAGUACUUAUUUUUUUAUCUGUGUGAUGACAUCAUGUGAUUUGUUCUUCAUGUAUAAAAUUUUUAAAGGAUGUGUUCUUUCAAAAUGGAUCAGUUUCAAUUUUGAAUAAGUUUCAAAAUUAGUAAUAGAUAUGUAAUAUUUUGUAAAUCGAUACUGCGUGUGUCAUGAUUCACCGAGCAAUAGCCGAAGUUUUCAGUCCCGUUGGUCCGAGGAUAAACAGUUUUCAAUCUUGUUAUUUUUGGGAAUAUGGUGCCUAAUGUCCCAAAUCACUAUUGUUGAAUGUAAGUCCGCUGAAUCCAAUUACUAAACACAGAAGGUCGAAAAACUCAUAGCUGAUCUCCGCGACCAGCCGGGGUAUAGCCUUAGAUGGCAAGAAUAUAUCGAGUAAUUCUGGCCAUAUAAAUACGAAUACUGCUUAAUGAACCAAGGGGUUUCCGUUUAAAUCUAUCUGUCAAACAGUCCUUCGGGGCCCCCUAUGCGAACAGGCAUGCAGUUUGGGAGCAUUGAAAAGGCGAUCUUACAAAUGGAUCAAGGGAGGUAUCGAACUGCUCGGUAUACCUUUUGUUUUGUGCCAUGCGAGACACCUCCAUUGACAGUUUUGAGGAUCUUUUGAACAACUGCCAAGACAUGUGGACCAACAUCUGAAGAUAUUUUUUGGUCAACACUUUCAAAUCUUAUGAGGCUACGUGGCCUCCUAAUCCUCAGGUUUCUCCAGUACUUAUAAAGGACCGGAAGCAUUUUCAAUGGCUGAUCACCUUCGUGGUGAUAGCGCCAUGAUUUCGGACCUUUAAGACUGCCUGGAAACACUCCACUGCCAUGAGCAAACAACUUCUUAGCACAGUGAUUCCGGUUCAGCAUGCCGCUGAUACUGAAUGGUCCCAGCAUGAAGGCCUUGAUGAACGCCACGAGCGAGAACAUUAACAAUGUCUUAUGACCAUUCUCGCGCCAUUCAACUUCGAUGGCCGCGGACCGAGGGGCGGCGCUCUCUCCUUCCGAGCAAGAGCGCUCUGGAAGCGUAAUGUCUCUGUCUCUCUGUUCUCAGUUCUUUAUUNNNNNNNNNNNNNNNNNNNNNNNNNNNNNNNNNNNNNNNNNNNNNNNNNNNNNNNNNNNNNNNNNNNNNNNNNNNNNNNNNNNNNNNNNNNNNNNNNNNNNNNNNNNNNNNNNNNNNNNNNNNNNNNNNNNNNNNNNNNNNNNNNNNNNNNNNNNNNNNNNNNNNNNNNNNNNNNNNNNNNNNNNNNNNNNNNNNNNNNNNNNNNNNNNNNNNNNNNNNNNNNNNNNNNNNNNNNNNNNNNNNNNNNNNNNNNNNNNNNNNNNNNNNNNNNNNNNNNNNNNNNNNNNNNNNNNNNNNNNNNNNNNNNNNNNNNNNNNNNNNNNNNNNNNNNNNNNNNNNNNNNNNNNNNNNNNNNNNNNNNNNNNNNNNNNNNNNNNNNNNNNNNNNNNNNNNNNNNNNNNNNNNNNNNNNNNNNNNNNNNNNNNNNNNNNNNNNNNNNNNNNNNNNNNNNNNNNNNNNNNNNNNNNNNNNNNNNNNNNNNNNNNNNNNNNNNNNNNNNNNNNNNNNNNNNNNNNNNNNNNNNNNNNNNNNNNNNNNNNNNNNNNNNNNNNNNNNNNNNNNNNNNNNNNNNNNNNNNNNNNNNNNNNNNNNNNNNNNNNNNNNNNNNNNNNNNNNNNNNNNNNNNNNNNNNNNNNNNNNNNNNNNNNNNNNNNNNNNNNNNNNNNNNNNNNNNNNNNNNNNNNNNNNNNNNNNNNNNNNNNNNNNNNNNNNNNNNNNNNNNNNNNNNNNNNNNNNNNNNNNNNNNNNNNNNNNNNNNNNNNNNNNNNNNNNNNNNNNNNNNNNNNNNNNNNNNNNNNNNNNNNNNNNNNNNNNNNNNNNNNNNNNNNNNNNNNNNNNNNNNNNNNNNNNNNNNNNNNNNNNNNNNNNNNNNNNNNNNNNNNNNNNNNNNNNNNNNNNNNNNNNNNNNNNNNNNNNNNNNNNNNNNNNNNNNNNNNNNNNNNNNNNNNNNNNNNNNNNNNNNNNNNNNNNNNNNNNNNNNNNNNNNNNNNNNNNNNNNNNNNNNNNNNNNNNNNNNNNNNNNNNNNNNNNNNNNNNNNNNNNNNNNNNNNNNNNNNNNNNNNNNNNNNNNNNNNNNNNNNNNNNNNNNNNNNNNNNNNNNNNNNNNNNNNNNNNNNNNNNNNNNNNNNNNNNNNNNNNNNNNNNNNNNNNNNNNNNNNNNNNNNNNNNNNNNNNNNNNNNNNNNNNNNNNNNNNNNNNNNNNNNNNNNNNNNNNNNNNNNNNNNNNNNNNNNNNNNNNNNNNNNNNNNNNNNNNNNNNNNNNNNNNNNNNNNNNNNNNNNNNNNNNNNNNNNNNNNNNNNNNNNNNNNNNNNNNNNNNNNNNNNNNNNNNNNNNNNNNNNNNNNNNNNNNNNNNNNNNNNNNNNNNNNNNNNNNNNNNNNNNNNNNNNNNNNNNNNNNNNNNNNNNNNNNNNNNNNNNNNNNNNNNNNNNNNNNNNNNNNNNNNNNNNNNNNNNNNNNNNNNNNNNNNNNNNNNNNNNNNNNNNNNNNNNNNNNNNNNNNNNNNNNNNNNNNNNNNNNNNNNNNNNNNNNNNNNNNNNNNNNNNNNNNNNNNNNNNNNNNNNNNNNNNNNNNNNNNNNNNNNNNNNNNNNNNNNNNNNNNNNNNNNNNNNNNNNNNNNNNNNNNNNNNNNNNNNNNNNNNNNNNNNNNNNNNNNNNNNNNNNNNNNNNNNNNNNNNNNNNNNNNNNNNNNNNNNNNNNNNNNNNNNNNNNNNNNNNNNNNNNNNNNNNNNNNNNNNNNNNNNNNNNNNNNNNNNNNNNNNNNNNNNNNNNNNNNNNNNNNNNNNNNNNNNNNNNNNNNNNNNNNNNNNNNNNNNNNNNNNNNNNNNNNNNNNNNNNNNNNNNNNNNNNNNNNNNNNNNNNNNNNNNNNNNNNNNNNNNNNNNNNNNNNNNNNNNNNNNNNNNNNNNNNNNNNNNNNNNNNNNNNNNNNNNNNNNNNNNNNNNNNNNNNNNNNNNNNNNNNNNNNNNNNNNNNNNNNNNNNNNNNNNNNNNNNNNNNNNNNNNNNNNNNNNNNNNNNNNNNNNNNNNNNNNNNNNNNNNNNNNNNNNNNNNNNNNNNNNNNNNNNNNNNNNNNNNNNNNNNNNNNNNNNNNNNNNNNNNNNNNNNNNNNNNNNNNNNNNNNNNNNNNNNNNNNNNNNNNNNNNNNNNNNNNNNNNNNNNNNNNNNNNNNNNNNNNNNNNNNNNNNNNNNNNNNNNNNNNNNNNNNNNNNNNNNNNNNNNNNNNNNNNNNNNNNNNNNNNNNNNNNNNNNUUAUAUCCGGAUCCUUGGCAAAUUUUAUAUAAUUUAUGAGGGAGAAAAUUUAUAAUUUUAUUUUAUUAAUUGGUGGACUACCAGUUAGGCAUAAAAGCACAAUAUUCAUAAUUUGUUUACUAAAUAUUAUUAAAUAACAUUUAAAAAACUAACUUGGGGCCCAAAAGUAAAAUAGAUUGGUGCAAAGGUGUACUAGAAGGUCAUGCGCUAUCCAUCAGUAACACAUAGCGUCCACGUGUCGACCAAAGCAUAACCGUGCUCGUGUCGUGCCAGAAAUUAAUCGGCAGGCCCCCGUGUCACGCACUUUAAUCUUUGUUCCAAGAUAAUCUACUCAGAACCAAUGCCUUAUAUGUAGAAAGGCCCAUAACUUUUAUGACUUCAUGGGCAUGCAAAAUAUCACCUCAAACAUUUCCCAUAGCAUGCUACUGGGGGGUGUUGGAAGGAAUUAAUAAUAACAGGCAUGUUGUAAUGUAACAUUCUCCAAAGAUCAUAAAGUUCCACCUUUUUACGAUGCGUGGGUCAACCAAUAUGACGAGUAAAUCCAGUGUUUCUCAAGGACAAUAAGCAGCUAUCGACCCUACUAAUUAGGCAUAACCAUGAAUUAUAUCAUGCCUUAACUUAGUGAUAAGGGAAAAAUCAUUUAGAUUUGCAAACGAUUGCAUGCUACCAUACAGAUAAUUUCCAAAGAUCUUAAAAUUCGUUAUCAAACUUUAGGAUAUUGCUCUUAAAGCAAGUACAAGAAUGAACAUUGUUGUUAUAAAAAACACUUAUGUCCAAACAAGAUUUUUAGAAUGCUAGAAAGAAAAUUUCUUUAGAUAUUAGGAAUGGAUCCAAACUGCCAGAAGGCAUAACCCACCUCAACUACAUACUCUUCGAGGAUCACAGCUCACGUGGCAAACCUCAAUCCUCCUCAACACCUAAGGGGAGAGUUGCAUUAAUUAGUUAAAAAACACAUACUAGGCGUUCAAAACAACCUACUAAUUGGCUUUCUAUGGUAUUAAGUUACUCAAAACAUUCAUUAAGUUUUACCACAAUUCCUAGAUAAAAAUCCAGAUAUUAAAUUUACGCUUCACAUCUCAAGAUACCUCUAACAAUGAGAUGCAUGUAGAAACCCUCAUUUGGAGUCUUUCCAAAGCCUAAGAGGACCUCAAGUGUCCAAGAAUCACACUACAAGCACACCAAUCAUGUUUUUGGGAGAAGGUAGUAGUAUACCUAAUCCUUGAUGAAUCCAAGACAGGGCAGUCGAGGCAAGUGGAGGAAAAUUGUCGUGGCGGUGAUUCCCCGCACUUGAAACCAUAUCGGUGGCUAGUGAAAACGUGUCAUAAAGUACUUCGUUACGUUCGUCGAAAGCCUUAGAAUCAAACCCUAAAGGGAGAAGUCUACAAGUUAGAACUUCUUAAAAACCCUCUACUUGACAAAACUACAAAAAUCCCAUUCAAUAUGCUAAGAUUUGACCUAAAUCCACCUAGCUUAGCAAGAGUGUUGGAAUAGCCUUGUGGGAACUCCUUCUUAGGUGAUUGGCCAACUCCGCUUGGGGAAGAAGCAACAUGUGCUCUUAGGGUUUGGAGGGAGAAAGAAACGAGAGUAGGAAUUUGGGCGGGUUAAAUAAAGGAGAAAAGGAGUUUUGAGGCUGUGGCAGGAACUUUUAAGAAAUACUGCAUAAUUGCACCUAACCUUGCAAAAUGAGAAAUUACAAAACUGUGCAAUCUUAACCCAAGGUAGAACUGGUUCCACAAUAUUCGUAACAAAAUACCAGUACUCCUUAGUUUCAGUACUCCUCCAUCAAGUACUCAAAUAACAGAGCGUUUUCCACACUAUUUUCGCCUGCUGGAAGUUCCACUACUCAAAUUCCAAUAAUGUACUCCAUCUCAGUUCCAAUAUCCUACUACUCCAUAUGGUUCCUCAAAAAAAAGAUUUUACACUUUCAAAAUACAAGUUCUGUUACUACUUCCACAUCAAGUCCAUUACGCCUCCACAAGUCCGAACUUCAACAAUGGGAUGCUCUUUUCUAAGUUCUAUGCGCUCCUGAACAAAUUUGAUUUCCACCAUAUCAAUCGGAAUUAAUUCUAAUACAUCCAACUUACCCUCCUAUUGCCAAUUCAUUCUUAUCAAGCUAUAACAGGACUUUAUCUCACUUUGCAUUUGGUCCAAUGUUCUGUUAUUACACUGAGUUUCAGUACACUAUCUCUCUUCAAGAAGUUGCAUCGUAUUUGUCCUCUGAUCCCUCUCUUUACUCCAUCCUCUUACCUACCUCUGCGCUGGUCUUUUUCUCUUACCACAAGCCGUUGCUUCUUCCUCUUUCUUUACUCCAAUCUCUCACUACCCUGAGAAACCUCAUUUUCUUCUUUCCCCAAGAAGGAACCAUCUUGAUUUCAAAUAAGAGGCGCUAGAAAUAUCAUUUCAACAACCAGAAACAAAAUAAUCAUAAGCAAAACAUUGCAAAGUUUGGAGAUAGGUAUUAACUUUUUGAAGUGAGAAGUUACAUUUAGGCCAACAUGCAUAUCAGGGUAGUUAAAUUGUUGUUCCAAUGGGUUAAAACCAGGGCAACAACAAACAGAGGGCCAACAAAAUUUGACUGUGUGGAGUGCAAUAUUAGUUGCAACCGCCCUAUAGUUAUAGACUUACAUAUUGAUUAAAUACAGUAUUUGGUUUGAUAAUUUGAAUCUAACAUUACAGCUCGAACUACACAAAUAAGGCUCAACUACAGUAAUAAGAACUACAGCCAAAUUGGCCGUAAUUAUAUCUGGCAGUGAGAGAAUACUGCAAGCAAGAACAAAAGUACCUCCCAUAAUAACUUUUAAGUAGAAAAUAAUUUAUUUUCUACAUUGGAGACAGCUUCAGUCUAAAUAUUGAGGACUUGAAAUGAAAAUCGAAAUGAUCCAAUCUCUAUUAUUGGUGUUUGGUUUGAUGGAAUGACAUUCUGAUUUCCAUUCCGGGAAUGGAAUACCCCUAAAAUGAUUUAUCCACCAGUGGAGAAUAGGAAUCGACUUUGAUUACCGUGCAAGAUUGAGAAAAAGAAUCUUUAUUUUCAUCUACCAAUUAUUUAAAUUCAAAUAUAUAUCUAUAUUUUAAUUGUGAUAAAUUAUAUUUAAAAUUUUAAUUUAAAAUUUAUGGAUUUAAUUUUAAAUUUAAUUCUGUAGUUCAAAUAUUGAAUAUUAUAAGUUUGAUAUUUGAUUUAGUUCUAAAAUUUUGAAUUGUUGAAUUCCACUCUUGAAAUAUGAUUUCGAUUCUGAUUUAUCGAUUCCUAUUAUAACCAAACAAAUUAAGAGUUUUCAUUCAUUCGUUUUUUAUUUCGGCUCAUUUAUAUUUCUAGUUCAGAUUUUGUUCUUGUUUGAAACAAAACGAGCCCGGUUAAAUCACCACCGAUUAUAGUUUUUUCAUGCAGGGUGCGUUGCCAGUCUACCAACACUGCAGUUGUAGUUACCAACAUGCCAACCAAACGAGCCCCAGAGAUUACGGUUAAUUGAUCAUACAAGCGCAAUGCUACAAAAAGUACGCCAAUAACAAGCACAUAACGCACCAAAGAGGAAAAGAAGUCGGUUAUUUAUAAUAGGAAGAAAAUAAGAGGAAGAGAGAUUCGUCAAUAGUUUCGGCCCUCGCCCUGCUCUCCUAAACGCCGCGGGAGGCCGAACGCGACAUGCAGCUGCGCGCGCCGAUUGCGUUGCGGGCGGCGGAGUUCGUCGGAGGAAGGAGCGUGGAGAGAGAAGGCGAAGAAGGAAAAGAACGAGCAGGUGGGCGAGUGGGAAGCGGAGAGGAAGGGGGCGAAUGAAACGGUAACUGGCUAGGAGGAGAAGCUUGUUCGAUUAAUUUUGCGAAUCUAAUCUCCAGUAUUUUUUUUUUUUUUGUUUUCAAAUAGCAUUCCGAUAUACAAAGUUUAUUUGAUCAGACUCAGCUGGAUACAAAUAAAUAAUACAUUUAAAAGACCAACAAUUUAUUUUACUAUUUGUUUAAAAAAAACUAUAAAUAAUUUAUUAUUCUUCUAAUUUUUUUAGAAGAUUUAAAUCCAUGUAAAAAUGAUAAUAAAAUCAUCGGCACAAUCUUAACUAUCUAAAAUUCCCAACAAUAUAUUUAUACAACUUACAUAAUAAAACAAAUAAAAAUGUUUAUAAUUACAUACACUUCUAAGUUCUAACACCUUAUAAAAAUUCCUCAUCGCCGAAUAUAAAUAUCUAAACAAUAUUACAAAACAUCCUCACAAUCAAUACGAAAAUAAUCUAUAACAAACAAUAAUAAUUGGAAUUGCGAAAUGAUAAGAUCUUCGCACAAUGCAAUACAAAAAGAAUAUUAUAAACAACAAUAAUUUAGUUAAAAAUGGAAUGAUUCACCGCUUUUUCUUUUUACCAUCCUUUUUUUCUCAUUUGUGAAUUUUUUCACAGAUUUCUUACACGUUCUUUUCUUAUUGUGAAUUCUUUUCUUAUUCUCGUCUAAUUAUGACACUGUGUUGAUAAUAAUAGAAAUAGUUGUCAAAAUAUACUCUAAAUAAAAGAAUUUAGCAAGCUUAGAUAUUUUAUCAGAUUAUUUUUUACGGGCCUCUUUAUUAAAUUAAAUUUAAAUAAUAUCCCUCAUCCACAAAACGGUUUGUAGGAUUUACCGGCUUUAUUAAAAGCUAAGUAAUUUUUAAAAAAAAAAAAAAAAAAACGGUAGGUAAAAUGAGUGGAGAGAUGAGCUAAUUGAAUGGAAUGAGAAUAAGAUUAUGAGAAAUGAUUCGGUACUUUUUAAAAAAUUAAAUAAAAAAAAUUUAACCGUUGAAUUAAUAUAGGUAAAAAUUAAACUUCUUAAUAUUACAGUAAAAGAUUAAAUUUUUUUUUAAUUCAAGAUUAGUUUGGUAAUUAAUUAAUACAAUUAUUUAAAGAAACUUUUACAUUAAUUGAGGUCCUAAAUUUAUGCAUUUAAUUAGCCACUACUUUGAAAAAUUAAUUGAGUUAAACCAAAUUUAUGCAAUUAUUAGGCAUUAAUUUAGAAAAUUAAACUCUUUAAAAUUUAAAGUGAAAAUUUAAAUUAGAGGAUUUCAUAUUACUAUUAAAAACUAAAUUUUACCAAGAUUUAAAAUAUAGUUUUUCACCAGUUUUAAAACGAUAAUGCCAUAAAAAAACUUAGAGAGGUAAGAAUUAUCUACAACCUAGAUUUCUCAUAGAAAAUAUUUAUCAUUACUAUUUAAAGUUUAAAGUAUCAAUGAUUUAAAAACUAGAUUGAGCCGAUUAGAUUGGACUGAUCAGAUUUUAACUAUUCAUUCAAGAAUCUGAUUUUAACCUAUUUUGAACCCAAACUGAUAAAGAUAAUAAAUAUUUUAAACAAAAUGAUUAUUUAAUGUUAGAGCUCAAUAAAUAUUUAAUCUAAUUUUUAAACAUAAUAAAUUAAAAUGAUUACGAUAUUGGUGAUAAAAAAAUAGUAGGAAUUUGAAUUCGAAUGCUGACUAACAAUCACAAAACUUAAUUUCCAGAAACAUCGUUACGAUUCAAAAAUCCAUAUCAAAAUUCAAACUGACCAAUUUCGCGAACCCAAACAAAUCAAACCAGAAGCUAGAUUAAACAAUUAUUUCUGGUUUACCCAUUUCAAAGAUUAUAUAUGAACCUUAAUUUAUUAAAAUAUUUAAUUUGAAUAUAAUAUUAAAUUAUUAAUAUUAAAAGUAAAAUUUAAUAAACAAAAAAAUAUUAGAUGAAUUUCAUUAGUUACUUUUAAUAAUUUAAAAUUCAAUGAUACAUAUUGUCAAUCAUUUGAAAAUUUCUUAAUAUGAAAAAUACCAAAUAUGAAAGGAAAGAUAGAGAAGAAAAGGGAAACAAAGAAAAAAUAAAAAUUUUGAAAUAUAGUAGAAUGUAAAGAAUGACUAAAAUUGGCCCAAUGUUAAAAAUAAAAAUAUUCUUUUUUGGAUACAGGUGGUAACCGGAUUACCUUCCACAGUGACCUAUCGCUUAUUGCAGUUCAUCAAUUUUAAAAAAAUAAAUCUGAGCCGUUGAAUAGGCAAACGUGCGUUAUGAACUGUAACCAAAAAAAUAUUAUUAUAUAGAUAUUUACUAAGGGCGUGUUUUGGAUCGCUAAAUAUUAACCCGGAAUUCAGAAUCGGAAUGAUCCAUUUUCGAUUUAGACGUUUGAGUACGCCGUAAUUCCAUUCUGAUUCCGUUUUCAUCCGGAAUGAGAAUGGCUAAUCCACGGUAAAAUGAUCACAGGCCUCGUACCACGGAUUAAAAAUUGAAAAUCCGACUUAAUUACCAUUAUACUAAAAUACCUUCAUCUGUACGACUAUAAAAAAAAAAAAAAAAACCCACCCUCGCCUCUUCCUCACCGCUCAAUUCUUCACCUGACCGCGCCGCUCCGCCUCUUCCUUACGCUCAACUCUCCUUAACGCGCGCCGCUCCGCCUCUUCUCUCACCGCUCAACUCUCCCUGACCACGCCGUCACCAAGCUCUCAUCCGAUACGUAAUACCCCUAGCCACUCCCAAGACUUCGUAAUACCCCCCCCCACCAGCCAUCCCCAAGCUUCGUAAUACACCCCCCCCCACCCAAUGGCUUUAGCCCUCUGGCAACAAGUUUCAAUUUUUCCCAUUUUCUUCUCAUCUUUCUCUUUUUUUUUUUUCUUUUUUCUAUUUUUUUUAAUUCUCAAGAAUUCACAGGACUUUGGACUUUCUCAAAAAGAACGAAAAAAAAAAAAAAAAAAAAAAAAAAAAAAAAGUAAAAAGAAGAAAAGGCCAUAUGAACCCUAGUAAUUAUGAGGUCAUACUUUUUUAUUUUUUGUCCUUGUUGCUAAGAAGUAAUUUUUUUUAUUUGAUAUUAAAUAACAUAUGAUGCUGCAAUGUCAAAAGGGAAAAAAAAUUUAGAUUUUGAUAAAAUAAAAAAUUAUUAUAUAAUAAGGUGUUGGUACAAAAUUAUAAGAUUUUGUAAGUUGCUCAUAUUUAUAUUUAAAUAGAGUUUUCAAAAUAGUUAAAAGUAAUUAAAAUAUAUUAUAAGGGUAAAAUUGGUAUAUUAAUUCAAUUCCGUUUCUGAUAACUAUCUGAAUCAAACACCGACAAUGAAAAUGAUUCAUUUCGAUUCCGAUUCAGGUGGCGAACCAAACAAAAUGAGGUAAUGAGUCAUUCCGAUUCCGAUUCUAGCUUAUUCCCAUUCCGUUUCCGAUUUUGAUUCCGACUUCGAACCAAACACACCCUAAAUUGCAAAUUAAACUUUUCAAAUACAAAUACACAAAGAUAAGAAUAAUAAAUUACCUUUUUUAAUAAAGAAAUUAGAGUACUGGAUCGCCCAUGCAUUUGACGCGGCGGAGUCGGCCGCGAUGGCGAAAAGGAGGGCUGCUGACAGAGAGUGCGCGGUGGCGGAGAGCUGCGCGCGGGCGCAUACGGCGAGCGUGGAGGACGGUGGAGGCGUGACCGCGGCGCCGGUGCAGGCCAGCUCGGCGGCGGCGUCGCGGAGGCGGUCGACGCUGUCGGCCAUGUUCUCGAGGCAGUCGCGGACAGGGCCGGAGCCAGAGCCGGAGCCGGAGCCGGGGGGACGGUGGCGGCAGCGUGGCGCUGGUGCGGGCCAGCNNNNNNNNNNNNNNNNNNNNNNNNNNNNNNNNNNNNNNNNNNNNNNNNNNNNNNNNNNNNNNNNNNNNNNNNNNNNNNNNNNNNNNNNNNNNNNNNNNNNNNNNNNNNNNNNNNNNNNNNNNNNNNNNNNNNNNNNNNNNNNNNNNNNNNNNNNNNNNNNNNNNNNNNNNNNNNNNNNNNNNNNNNNNNNNNNNNNNNNNNNNNNNNNNNNNNNNNNNNNNNNNNNNNNNNNNNNNNNNNNNNNNNNNNNNNNNNNNNNNNNNNNNNNNNNNNNNNNNNNNNNNNNNNNNNNNNNNNNNNNNNNNNNNNNNNNNNNNNNNNNNNNNNNNNNNNNNNNNNNNNNNNNNNNNNNNNNNNNNNNNNNNNNNNNNNNNNNNNNNNNNNNNNNNNNNNNNNNNNNNNNNNNNNNNNNNNNNNNNNNNNNNNNNNNNNNNNNNNNNNNNNNNNNNNNNNNNNNNNNNNNNNNNNNNNNNNNNNNNNNNNNNNNNNNNNNNNNNNNNNNNNNNNNNNNNNNNNNNNNNNNNNNNNNNNNNNNNNNNNNNNNNNNNNNNNNNNNNNNNNNNNNNNNNNNNNNNNNNNNNNNNNNNNNNNNNNNNNNNNNNNNNNNNNNNNGAGCCGGAGCCGGAGCUGGGGGGACGGUGGCGAGUCGGGCGACGGCGGAGCAGGCCCGGUCGGCGCUAACGGCGAGCGCAAAGUGGGCGAGCUCCCGGGGGCUGCAGCGGACGGCGGCGGCGUAGCAAUUUCCUGCAGGAAGAAGAAGAAGAAGAGGAGAAAGAGAAAAAAAAAAAAAGAAAGUGCAAAAUUUUUCUAAAUGGUGCAAUCUUGACCUAAAGAGUGUAAAGUAUAUUUUAAAAAAGUGUAAUUUCUAUAUGAAAUAGUGUAAUUUUUAUUACAACAGUGUAAUUUUUUUUAAAACGGUGUAAUUUUUUUUAAGAGUUUAAUUACAAGAGUGUAAUUUUUCUCUUUCUCUCCAACGUGGCCUCAGCGAGAAGACCAGUUUAAUUACAAAAGUUAAUUAAAACGAGAAUCGAAGCGAAGCCGGGGUUGAUGCAUGCAUGGUUUUAAUAAUUACUGUUGCGGGGCGACGCGGUUGAGGAGGGCGAGGGCGUUGUUGAUGACCUGGGCGACGGCGAGCACCUCGCGGCGCGGCACGCGCGGCGGGGUCGAGCUUGGCCUUGCCGCCGCCGGCCUGGGCGACGCCGUCGAGGCAGGUGGUCUCGUCGGUAAGGGCGACGCUGCAUCAGGUGCGAACGUUGCUCAUGUGUCAGGCGAACACGGGGGAGCCGAAGCAGCCGGUGCGGGCCAGCUCGGCGGCGUUGUCGCGGAGGCGGUCGAUGCUGUCGGCCAUGUUCUCGAGACAGUCGUGGACGGGGCCGGAGCCGAAGCCAGAGCUGGGGGGGGCGGGGGACGGCUGCGAGGCGGGCGACGGCGACUCCCGGGCACCUUGCGAAGCGGGCAAGUUCCCGGGGGCUGCGGCAGGCAGCGGCGGCGUAGCAAUUUCCUGCAAGAAGAAGAAGAAGAAGAGAAAAAGAAAAAGAAAAAGAAAUAGUACAAAAUUUUUCUAAAUGGUGCAAUCUUGGUCUAAAGAGUGUAAAGUCUAUUUUAAAAGAGUGUAAUUUUUAUAUGAAAUAGUAAAAUUUUUAUUAAAAUAGUGCAAUUUUUUUUUAAACAGUGUAAUUUUUUUUUUAAGAGUGCAAUUUUAUCAUCUUCUUUCUUCUUCUAUAUUUUUUUAUCUUUUCUGUAGGAAAAAAAUAUUUUUUUUAUUAUUUUUAUUUUUUCUAUAAUUUUUUUUUGUCACCACCUCUCCCUUGCUUUCUAUCGCCACCAUCGCGAUGUCGUCGGAGGCGAUCUCGCCGCCUUCAACGACGUCUCGGCGUUCCGACGCGCGGUGGAGGAGAAGAGCCUGCGUCUCGACGUCGCCAUGCUCUAGUGGAGAAGAAGAGUGGCGACGCGGCCUCAGCAAGGUCGGAGGCGAGGAGGGCUGGAGUGCACGGGCGAUGGCGUGUAGGGCGGAGGCGAGGCGGGCUGUUUCCGCCUCCGCCUCCGCUGCCUUCUUCGGAGAGAGAAAAAAAAAACAAGAGAGAAAAAAUAAUAAGGAUAUUUUGGUCAGUUUGCUGAAAUUUCGACCCGAAUCUGCAAAAUCGAAAAAAAGGUCAAAUUUUGCAAAAGCCCAAAAUUAGUAGAUUUUUUUAUGCAAAUUAGUCUUUUUUUUUUUCUUUCAACUAAAUAAAUAUUGAUGAAAAAUUAUUGGCCAAUUUGCAUAAAAAAUUCACUAAUUUUGCGCUUUUGCAAAAGUGGGCCACAUUUUUAGUUUUCGCAGAUUCGGGCCGAAUUUUUAGAAGGAUGACCAAACUACCCCUCUUUCAAAAUUCAUAAAAAUUAUAUAUUUUAAAUGCCUAGAAAAAUACAACUGAUAAGCCAUUAUGUAUAAAACUUUUUGAAAAUGACAACUGCUAAGCCAUAAUUAUAUGUACCAUUCUUGUGAAACAAGAAACCUCAUUCAAGACAAAAUAAAAAAAAAAUUAAUAAGAUGAAAGAGUGCAACAUCCUCUCAAAUAGUGCAACAAGCUCUUCAAAAUAGUGCAAUAUCUGUAUAAGUAGUGCAACAUAUGCAUUGUUAAUAUAUAUUUUACAUGAUUUUUACAAUAAAUUACGUACAGUUUAGUAUAUUACGCGAAAAUAAUAUAAUAUAUUAUAACAUACUAUAAAAAUUAUACAAUAUAUGUACAAACGGUGCAUAUUUUACAUUAUUUAUACAUAUAUUUACACCAUUUGUGUAAAUGUUGGACUAUUAAGUCAUAAUUAUAUGUAUGUACCUUUCUCGUGAAACGAGAAACCUCAUUCAAGAGAAAAUAAAAAAAAUAAAGAAUAAUUAAUGAGAUAAAGAGUGCAACAUAUUCUCAAAUAGUGCAACAAGCUAUUCAAAACAGUGCAAUAUCUGUAUAAGUAGUGCAAUAUCUAUAUAAGUAGAUUGCACUACUUAUACAGAUAUUGCACUAUUUUGAAUAGCUUGUUGCACUAUUUGAGAAGAUGCUGCACUCUUUAUCUUAUUAAUUAUUCUUUAUUUAAUAUGUAACGAAAUUUAAUUUUCAAAAAGAAAGAGUGCAACACACAUCUAAAUGGUGCAAUAUCCUCUUAUAUACACAAAUGGUGUAAAUAUCUAUACAAAUAGUGUAAAAUAUACACCGUUUGUACAUAUGUUGUAUAAUUUUUAUAUAUGUUGUAAUAUAAUAUAGUAUUUUCGCGUAAUAUACUAAACUGUGCGUAAUUUAGUGUAAAAAUCAUGCAAAAUGUUUAUUAACAAUGCAUAUGUUGCACUAAUUAUACAGAUAUUGCACUAUUUUGAAGAGCUUGUUGCACUAUUUGAGAGGAUGUUGCACUCUUUCACCUUAUUAAUUAUUCUUUAUUCUUUUUAUUUUAUUUUGAAUGAGAUUUCUCGUUUCACGAGAAGUGUACAUGUAAUUAUGGCUUAACAGUUGUCAUUUUCAAGAAGUUUGAUACUUUAUUUAAUAUGCAAUAAAAUUUAAUUUUCAAAAAGAAAGAGUGCAACACACAUCUAAAUGGUGCAAUAUCCUCUUAUAUACACAAAUGGUGUAAAUAUCUAUACAAAUAGUGUAAAAUAUACACCGUUUGUACAUAUGUUGUAUAAUUUUUAUAUAUGUUGUAAUAUAAUAUAGUAUUUUCGCGUAAUAUACUAAACUGUGCGUAAUUUAGUGUAAAAAUCAUGCAAAAUGUUUAUUAACAAUGCAUAUGUUGCACUAAUUAUACAGAUAUUGCACUAUUUUGAAGAGCUUGUUGCACUAUUUGAGAGGAUGUUGCACUCUUUCACCUUAUUAAUUAUUCUUUAUUCUUUUUAUUUUAUUUUGAAUGAGAUUUCUCGUUUCACGAGAAGUGUACAUGUAAUUAUGGCUUAACAGUUGUCAUUUUCAAGAAGUUUGACACUUUAUUUAAUAUGCAAUAAAAUUUAAUUUUCAAAAAGAAAGAGUGCAACACACAUCUAAAUAGUGCAACAUCCUUUCAUAAUAGUGCAAUAUUUACACAAAUAGUGUAAAUAUAUCUGUACAAAUAGUAUAAAAUAUGCACCGUUUGUACAUAUAUUGUAUAAUUUUUAUAAUAUAUUGUAAUAUAUUAUAUUAUUUUCGUAUAAUAUACUAAACUGUGCGUACUUUAGUGUAAAAAUCAUGCAAAAUAUGUAUUAACAAUGCAUAUGUUGCACUACUUAUACAGAUAUUGCACUAUUUUAAAGAGCUUGUUGCACUAUUUGAAAGGAUAUUGCACUCUUUCAUCUUAUUAAUUAUUCUUUAUUUUUUUUAUUUUCUCUUGAAUGAGGUUUCUCGUUUCACGAGAAAGGUAUAUGCAUGUAAUUAUGGCUUAGCAGUUGUCAUUUACAAGAAGUUUUAUACCUUAUUUAAUAUGUAUUAAAAUUUAAUUUUCAAAAAGAAAGAGUGCAACACACAUCUAAAUGGUGCAAUAUCCUCUCAUAAUAGUGCAAUAUUUACACAAAUGGUGUAAAUAUCAGUACAAAUAGUGUAAAAUAUGCACCGUUUAUAAAUUUAUUGUAUAACUUUUAUAGUAUGUUGUAAUAUAUUAUAUUAUUUUCGCGUAAUAUACAAAACUAUGUGUAAUUUAGUGUAAAAAUUAUACAAAAUGUGUAUUAACAAUGCAUAUGUUGCACUUCUUAUACAGAUAUUGCACUAUUUUGAAGAGUUUGUUGCACUAUUUGAGAGGAUAUUGCACUCUUUCAUCUUAUUAAUUAUUCUUUAUUUUUUUUAUUUUGUCUUGAAUGAGAUUUUUUAUUUCACGAGAAAGAUACAUAUAAUUAUGGCUUAGCAGUUGUUAUUUCAAAAAGUUUUACACUUAGUGGCUUAACAGUUGUAUUUUUCUAGGCAUUUAAAGCAUAUAAUUUUUAUGCAUUUGAUAGAGGGGUAGUUUGGUCAUCCUUUUGAAAAUUCGGUCCGAAUCUGCAAAAACUAAAAAAAGUGGCCCACUUUUGCAAAAGCGCAAAAUUAGUGAAUUUUUUAUGCAAAUUGGCCAAAAUUAUUUCUCCUAUAAAUCAAAUACUACAAAAUAUAAAAAUAAAAUUUCAACUAAAAAUUUAGGCCAAUUUGCAUAAAAAAUCCACUAGUUUUGGGCUUUUGCAAAACCGGGCCACCUUUUUCGUUUUUGCAGAUUCGGUCCAAUUUUUCAACUGCCUGACCAAAAUACCCUUGUACCUUUUUCUCUCUCCUCUUUUUUUUUCUCUCGUUCUUUUUUUUUUCUUUUCCAGGAGAGUGGCGAAGGCAGAAACGCCACACCCCCUGCCCCGGCGAUGUCGCCCUCGCUCGCUUCGGCGACGUCGCCGGCGACGAGCCUGCCUCCCCCGCCUCGGCCUCUCCCUCGACCUCUCCUCCUACCGUGCCUCUCCCUUGACCUCUCCUCCAACCGGCGACGAGCCUGCCUCCCCCCGCCUUGGCCUCUCCCUCGACCUCUCCUCCUACCACGGCACGCAUCCGUCACAGCCACGCACACCACGCACUCCAACCCACCCACCACAGACAUCGUCGACGACGCGGCGAGACGUCGGUGGAGACGAGGAAAACGGAGAGGAUCAAAGCCGGUGAGCGCGGGCGCGCGUGGAGACGCGGCUGCGGCGGCGGGCAGAGGGAUCUAUCGGCGGCGGCAGCGCGCAGCGGGCGCGGGGCGGGCACGUGGUGGCGCGGUACGGCAAAUACUUCUUGCUUCGUCGUAUGUGUAUGGUGCACCAGUUACCCAUUAAUGGUGUAUGUGUAAUUUACACAUUACUGGGCUGCCAAUGGAUUCACAUUAAUGGUUGUAAUGGAUGCACAUAAUGGUGACGCGAAGAGCCGGGCAAAGGGACGACUGCGGUUAGACGGUAUCGACGAGGCCUCCGCGUUAGACGCCGAGAUAUGGCGCCAGCACGCGGGGGAGAUGGGGUGCGAUCAGCAGGCGAGACAGCAGGCACGACUCGCCUGUCGUAGGGCACGUAUUGAGGCAGGUUCCACGUCCAUGCCGGCGAGCAGCCCCACGGCACACCACGCACUCCAACCACCUGACACGCGAGCGGCCAGCACCCCACCGCUGACGUGGCGAUACGUACCGCGAGCAGCGAACAUGCUCACGCCUGCGCUGCGGCUGGCGACCGCGGCUUGCGCCUGCACAGCGCGCGGACGGGCGUUGGUGUAAUGGCUUGCACCAUUACACCAUGUAAAUGGCCUUGUAAUGGUGUAUUCACACAUUAUGAGUGGUGGCGCGAAGAGCCGACCGCCAGAGGGACGCACGCGCUGCUUGUAUGAUGGGUAUCGACGCAGGCCCGUGGGUAAGGCGCGACUAGCGAAGAGGCAGGAAUGAGGCGCGGCGGCGUGCGCGCUGGGCGCGGCUGCGUGCCAGUCGAUGGCGCGGCGGUCACGGCAGGCGGCUCCGACCGCUGAUAGGCCAUGUUCUCGGGGCAGUCGGGACGGGGCCAGAGCCGGUAGCGGAAGCGGGCGAUGGCGCGGGCGGGGACGGCGGAGGCAGGCCCCUCGGUCGGCUAGCUGAGGACAUGAGCGUUGAAGAAGUGCAGCUCCCGGUCGUAGGCUGCGGCGGACCGGCGGCGAGGCUCCGCUGCGGCCCGCUCGCCUCUUGCCCUUUAGGUGAAGAAGAAGAAAGACAGAUGAGGAAAAGGAAAAAAAAGAAAGAAAGGAAAAGCGAAAGACAGAGACCCGCGGAACACAAAAACGGUUAAAAUUUGCCCUCCCGCCAGGACGGAACAAAAAUAGAAGAAAAAAGAAAAAGAGAAAAAAUUUGCUGUAUAGGAUGAGAGAGAAGACGAGUAGGGAAAAAAGAAAAGAUAAAGAAAAGAAAAGAAAAGAAGAAAAAGAGAAGAAGAAGUGGAAAAUAAAAAAAGCGGACUCCAGCAGGAGGAAGAGAAGAAGAAGAAAAAAAAGAGAAGAAAAAAUUGCUCCGGCUGACUUCGCCAUUUUUUUUUCGGCGGAAAAAAAAAAAAAAGACGAGAGAACGAAGAGGAGUAGAGAAAGAGGAAGCAGAAUAAAGUAAUAAGGGUAUUAUUGGGUCAGUUGCUGAAAAAACGGACCGAAUCUCAGAACGAAAAGGUCGACCUGAUUUUGCACAAAGUCCAAAAUAAGUGGAUUUGUUUAUGUAAAUUGGCCAAAGAUUUAUUCCGCAUGAAAUUAUUUUUUUAUAAUUUUUGCGUUGAAUCAAAUGGCCCUACCGAUCAGGAAAUUGAGGCCUUUUUUAAAAUGACCCUCCCUCUAAAAAAUUAUAAUUGGCAAAAUAACCAUGUAAAAAUUUUAUUUGUAAAACUAACCCUCCUUUCGUCACGUAGGCGCCACGUCAAAAUUUUCUUAUAAAGACGGUAAAUCGUUCGCCGUUUUCUCUUAUUUCUUUUAUUUUAAAGACGGUAAAUCGUUCACCGCUUUCUCCCAUUUCUUUUAAAGGCGGUAAAUCGUUCACCUCUUUCUUCCAUUUCUUUUAAAGACGGUAAAUCAUUCACCGCUUUUCACUUAUUUACUGUUUCUAUAUCCCAUAUAAUCUUAACAACUUUUAAAUCCUAAUAAUUUAUCCAUAUAAUUUCAUAUAAAGACAGUUAAGAUUAUAUGAAAUUAUAUAGAUAAAUUAUUAGGAUUUAAAGGUUGUUAAGAUUAUAUGUAAUUUGUUAGAAUUUUUAUGUGGUUGUUAGGAUUAUAUAUGGAAUAUAGAAAAUAACAGUAAAUAAGUUAUGGGAGAAAACGGUAAAUGAUUCACCGUCUUUAAAAGAAAUGGGAGAACGCGGUGAACGAUUCACCGCCUUUAAAAGAAAUAGGAGAACGCGGUGAACGAUUCACCGUCUUUAAAAGAAAUAGGAGAACGCGGUGAACGAUUCACCGUCUUUAAAAGAAAUUCUGACGUGGCGCCGACGUGGCGAAAAGAGGGUUAGUUUUACAAAUAAAAUUUUGAGUGGGUUAUUUCGCCAAUUUUAAAAUUUUAGAGGGUUGUUUUAUAAAAAAGUCCGGAAAUUGAAGUUGUAGGCCCUGUUUCACAAUAUUGGAUAGUUUAGGGGUCUCCACUUAGGAAAAAUGUUAAGCUUUAGGGACUAAUUUCAGAACGGCCAAUCGUCGAGGGGGUCUUCAUUCAUUUUCACCUACAAAGACUCGAUCUUCGAGGACUUUUUUCGAAAAUAAACCUGUAAAAUUUCAUAUUUGCCAAACUAACCCCGUAAAAUUUUUAUUUGUGAAACUAACCCUCCUCUCGCCAUGUGGGCGCCACGUCAGGGAUUCUUCAAAAAGACGGUGAAUCGUUCACCGUCUUUGAUAUUUAUUGUGAAGGCGGUGAAUGAUUCACCGUCUUCAUAAGACGGUGAACCAUUCACCGUCUUUAGUACAAAUCCCUACUCUGCGCAAAUCUUUUCAAGUCCAUAAUAUGGUGUCCUUGAUAAGACGGUGAAUCGUUCCCCGUUUUCUCGAGGGCACAGAAAUAGCGGACUUGAGAGGGCGGAAAGGGAAAAUGGCGGAAAGAGAAAUUUUGCACUAAAGGCGGUGAAUGGUUCACCGUCUUCUAAAGGCGGUGAACCAUUCACCGCUUUUACAAUAAAAAUUACAAAGACGGUGAAUGAUUUACCGUCUUUUUGAGGAAUCCCUGACGUGGCGUCCAUGUGGCGAAAGGAGGGUUAGUUUUACAAAUAAAAAUUUCACUGGUUAGUUUGGCAAAUACGAAAUUUUACAGAGUUAUUUUCGAAAAAAGUCCAUCUUCGAUCUCAGUUUAUAACUCUUCUUCGUUCUGAUCAGGAGAGAGAGAGAGAGAGAUGGCGUCGUGGGAGAUGGAGCUCCCCGAGUGCCCCGUUUGUCUCCAACCCUACUCCCUCGGCGGCGACGGCGGUGGCGGAGGUGGCGGCGCCUCCUCCUCCUUCGGCGGCGGCGCAGGCGCCGUCGUCCCCCGCGUCCUUGCGUGCGGCCACUCCGUGUGCGAGGCGUGCCUCGCCGCGCUCCCCCCGCCGCCGCGCGCCGCCUCCGGCGCCGGCACCGAGGCCGCCGACGCGCUCCGUUGCCCCGAGUGCGCCCAGCUCGUGCCCUUCCCCCGCUCCCUCGGCCCCUCCGCCCUCCCCAAGAACAUCGACCUCCUCCGCCUCAUCCCAUCCUCCUCCUCCUCCUCCUCCUCCUCCUCUUCCUCCAACCGCAGAAACCCUAACCCUCCCAAUCACCCGCCCCCCAGUCCCCCGCCACACUUCCUUCCCCUCCCCUGGGCUCGCUACCCCCUCUUCUCCUCCUGUAAGCACCUCAUUCUCCCUCAUCGAUCUCUCUCGUCGGCUGCUUCGUCUUCUUUCUCAUCGUCUCGUGGUAACCCCUGGUUUUGCCGGGACAACCAAGCUGUUUCUCUCCUGCCCAUCAAAACCUCACCUUUUAGUUCCGAUUCGGAGCAAUCCGAAUGGUUCCGGCCGAGCUAUGUAACACAGGUCGUGGAAGCACUUGAUAAGUUGGGAGAUCGGGCGAGGGACGAAUUGGGUUUUCUUAUAGAGGCUUCGUGGAAGCCACGGAGUGGGUUGUGUAGGGUUUUUGGGUUGUGGAUGGACAUCGAAGAGGAAAAAUCCCAGCUUUUCUUGGUAUCGGAGAGAUUUGAUCUUGGAAUGGGGGAUUUGAUGAAGGAAGAGAGGAAGAAAUUUGGGUUGCUUCGUUUUGGGAUAAUUGGUUUGGAAUUAUGUGAGGCUGUGAUGGGUUUGCACUCGGAAGGGAUUGUUUGUGGCUGCUUGAGUCUUAGUUGCUUCUGUUUUGAUGAUUAUGGCCACUGUUUACUUGAUUUAAGCAAAGUUUUAUUACUAUGUAGGAGGAUUUGGGAGUUGAAUCAUACCAAGACAGAAGAACUUGUGGCCCCUGAGGUGUUGCUUUUAUUGCAUGACAAGAAUCAUACAAAGGAUAGAGUGGUCGAUGGAUCUGUUGGAUAUGGUUUGGAUGUUUGGUCAUUGGCCUGUGUUCUUAUUAUGCUUCUUACUUGUGAUGCCCACCUUGCUGUAGAGCUUAAUGAAGGCUUGAUUGGUUUGACUGAAAAAGGAAAGCGUGAAGAAUUUAUCGAACUUUAUGAUGGUUGGAAGAAAAAGGUGGUUGAUAAGGUGGAAGAAUUAUUAGUCAGCAGGGAGUUUGAAUCAUUGGUUCGGAUGUUCGAUUCAUGCUUGAGUUAUCAACCGGAAAGCCGUCCUCAUGUGAGUGAUGUGUGGUAUUGCUUUCGAGGUCUGUUUGGCAAAACUUGCCUUGAUGAUCUCGUUGAUUUAGAUGCCUUUGGGGCAAAGGAGAGUGUGAGAUGUUGCUUACUAAACAAUUUAAGUUCUCUGGGUAAAGAAGGUAGAAAUGUUCGGUGUAGAGAAGAAAAUGGUAACCUCUCCAGAGAUGUUUCUGGUACAGAUUUGGAAGAAAGUGGAGAACACGGUGAAAGAGACGAUGAUCAUCACAAGGAGGAGAAAGUUGAUGGAGAAUCUAAUAACUCGAUUAAUAGUGGUGGUUUUAAGUCGGUCACUCUUCAGGGUCAUCGUGACUGCGUUACAGGAAUAGCUGUUGGAGGUACAGUCUCAAUAUCAAAAUGGUUAACAAAAGUGUGUUGAUGAGUAUUACUUUGUUUUAAUCUCUGUUAAUCUUUUCUGUUGGAUUGGACUCAUAUUUCCAUGAGACAAGGAAUUAGAUUCUUUUAUCUGUCAAUUAGCUGAAUGCUUCAACUAUUCUUAUUUGGUUGUAUUAUUUUAAAGAUCUGAUUUUUCAUGAAAAGUUUACUCUUUUGCAGGUGGGUUCCUGUUUAGCUCCUCUUAUGACAAAACUAUCAAUGUUUGGUCCUUGCAGGUAUACUCUUUUUAAGGUACUGCCUGUUGAGAAAUCAAUUAAGUUAUGCUAAUACUUUGGUGAAAUAUAAGUUUCAUUAUUAAUUUUGAUUAGAAAUGAUAAAUUGGUGAUCACCGACUUUUGAUGAUUGAAUUUCCCUCCAGCAUAGCCCUUUACUGCAUCUUUAACUUGAAGCAAGAAAUAGGUAUAAUGAUCUAUCUGAUGCUUACAUGGCCAGCACAAUAUCAUCUCUAGAAACAUGAUCUACUUGAAAGUUGGAGUGAAUGAAAUUACAAGUUUUGUGCCAUCUAUUCUCUAUGCUGAAAAAACCAAUAUCUUAGUACAACAUAACACCUAUCACUAUUUUUAUGGGUCCUCUUACAUCUUCAUGUAGGCUCUAAAAAGCUCCCAAAGAAAUACCUUUAAAAUGUACGCCCAUGUGAUGUGCAUCAAAACUGUCGCUCACUAGGAUUUUAAAGCAGAUCAGAUGUGUGAAAAGGGAAAGCACUCCCUCCCCCUACACAGUGUAUGGUGCUUCCUAAAGUGAUCUAGCAUACUGUUAAUUAAAUCACUUCAAACUCUACGGAGGAAAAUAUAGGUUCACAAGGUUGGAAUUGAAUAGCUGCUUUUGGAUUAUUGUUUCCCCCCGUGUUUUUAUACCAAGUAUCUAGCUAUUUCCUGCUUAUGAACUAGCCAUGCAAGAAAAUUUCAGUUUACUAUAGUGACUAGAUUGCUAUCUUAAAAAGACCAAGUUUUGGAUCCAUUCCAAAUUAUUGACCAUUGACAUUCUUUUUACCUAUUGUACAUUUGUCUAACUUUACAAUUCGGUUACUCGAUACCAGCUUUUGUAACCAAUAUAAUAAGUAAUACUAGGAAACAUAAAUUGUUUCCUAGUUUAUAUCCUUUACAUUCUUAGAAGAAUGAUAUCUACUGUAUAAAAAAUGAGAUCCCUUAUUAUGUAGUAAAUCGUUUUAUUGAUUCACGUCUAACUAGCUAUUUCCCAUGACUAAUCACUAUGUGUUAAUAACGAAUCUAGACAUUAAGUAAAAACUAGGGACUUUAACAUAUAUAUACCCCUGCAACAUUUCUAUUUAUUUUUGCACUCCUGAAAAAUAUGAAUUACAUAUAUUCUCUUCAAAAAACUCAAAUUUUAAAUAAUCCCCAACUUAAGGGUAUUUAUCUUAGAAACUGCCUUUCAAGGGAUAUAUAUGAAAAUCCAUAUUUUACAGGGUAUAUGUUUAUCUAAAGUAAAUAGAAGAUUUUGUGAGAAUAUAGUUGUAGAAUUCCCUCAAAAAUAUUAUCCCUCAAAAAUAUUAUCCUAUUAAAACAUUCAUUUUAUUUGUUUUUUUUUUUUGAAAACUUUAUUGGCAUCUACUGAAUUCUGGUAACAAUGCCUUUGUUGUUUUACGGGGUAUAUUUUUAUCUAAAGUAAAUAGAAGAUUUUGUGAGGAUAUAGUUGUAGAAGUCCCUCAAAAAUAUUAUCCUAUUAAAACAUUCAUUUUAUUUAUUUAUGUUUUUCAAAAACUUUAUCGGCAUCUACUGAAUUCUAGUAACAAAGCCUUUGUUGUUUUGCUGUAUGCAUUUAGGAUUUCUCUCAUGUGCAAUCUUUGAGAGGUCAUGAGCAUAGGGUCAUGGCCAUACUCAUCUUGGACUUCGCAGGCCAGACACUCUGCGCAAGUGGUGAUAGCGGCAGUGGCAUUUUCCUUUGGAGUGUUACCAUCCCUCUCAUGCAAGAACCAUUGAGGAAAUGGUAUGAGCACAAUGAUUGGCGGUAUAGUGGGGUCCAUUCCUUGGCCUUCUCUGGGACAGGUUACCUCUACACUGGAAGUGGUGACAAGUCUAUAAAAGCAUGGUCCAUGCAGGUUGUGUGUCAUUAAUACAAAUCUCAAAUUUACUUUGUUUUUGGCUGAAGUACCGAAAAUCUCCUUGAUGUAUUGUAAUUUGCAUUUCAUCCUCCUCUAUAAUCGAAACCUGCAAAUAACUCCUUGAUUAAUUAGAAAAUCUUGUAUUUUGCUCCCUGCUGGAGUGGGUAAAGUGGUAAAAUUUUAUAAAUUUAGGGGGCUGUCUAUAUGUUUUGAUUAUCGGUAGGUAUGCAAACUGCAAUAUGCCCAGGGGGUUAUCUGCAUUAUACCCUUUGUUUUUUCUUGCAAUUGAUUGAUUUGUGUGCGUGUAAUCAGCAGUGCAUGUUUACUUUGUGCUUCUAAUGUGUGAUGUUUCUUUAGCUUCGUCAAUACUACAGGAAUUUCUAAUUAUAGGAGUUGCAAAUAAAUAUAUUCUAAAGCUUUUGAGAUUACCUUUUUAUGUUGCACGAUUGAAUCAUGCUAUUUUUCUUGUUAAUGAUGGCAUUGGGCUUGGUGUAGUUUCUAGUUAGCUUUUAAAUUCCCAUCUUAUGUAAACUGGUUAGCAGUUUCAUAGACAGUAUAUGACACCAAUAGACAUAUAUCACAUUAUGAAAACUUUGGGAGACUAACACACAGAUGGACAAUAUCUGAUAUCAACUUGUAUCUAUAUAUAACAUGGCAUGACUUGAGCAGGUGCAGUUUAGAAGCAAAUUACAGAUAAUGUUUUUCUGAUUUGAUCACCUGUACUGAUUAAAGGGUAUUAUCAGUAACAUUCUCAAAAGUACAAAUGAUUUAAUAUAUACUGUGGGAAGCCAAACUGAUAUUGUAGCUUGAAAGGAAUUCUGUUUAAUCUUGUUCAUCUCUUAAAUUAGCCAGGAUAUGUGAUAGCUCUUCUUGAAACAAUGUGUUAAAGAAAAUUAUCUAUAACUACUUUUUAGUAGGUAUAGUGGGAGUGCAAUCAUAGAUUUUGACUUAAGCUGGUAAAUAGGUUCAUUAAAAUCCUAGUCAAAGACGUUGAUAUAGUAAUGGAUGGAGAGAGGUAUCUGUUCUCCUGUUUCUUCAGAACAAUGAGGUUGCUAAAGAAUCUUGGUCGUAGAAACUAAGGAUGGAAACUAGUCAACAUGCAGGCAUAUUUGACUUUUCUUUUUAAGAUCUUUCUCAGGUUGUGUUCUUUGGUUUUCGAUAAAGAUACAAUAAUAUUAAGGAACAAAGAAGGUAAAUCAUUCACAGUUUGCUUUUCUUUUUACUCUCGUCAAUAAAGAUAGUGAUGGGUGUAGUUAUUUUAGGACCAAGAUUUAAAAAUCCACAAAAGGGACUCCGCUUUAUUGUGAAUAUAAAUCAAGCAUAUUAGAAAUAAGAUUUUUUACAAGCUUUGUGGAUCAAUGAGCUGAUCUUCAACAAUGAGUCAUCUCAAAAAGCAGGGAUAAAAGCAUAGUGGAUGUCACAAUUGUCGUUUUGGCAUAUUAACAUUUGUAUAUAUUACACUGAAUGCAUCUGUUGUAGUCUAAGCAUAUAUUCUCUUAUUCUCCAAAUGCGGUGACAUUCUAAUAGAAUGUUACACUCUUUAUGGUCUAUGUCGGUAUAAUAGGGCUAUUUGUCUUCUAAGUUGUCAAUUUAUGUUAUUGCCACCAAAAAUAUCCUUCCUUUUAAAGUUAGAACUUAAAAGAGUGCUUUCUUAUUGUAUACUAUUGAUGAUUUUUUUUAUCAUAAGAGUGGAGGAGCAAUUUUCUUGGUUAAACUUCUUGUCCACUUAUGUGCUUAAGUAAUAGUUGUUAAAUGUUUCAUAAUGUACAUUGUCUUCUUAUUGACACCACAUACUCAAUAUAAAUGACUAUGUAGUCCUAAUGCUCUCACUCUUAUCUUAAUUAAUUGUGCCCAUUUCUCUCUCUUUCAUAGGAUUACUCCCUUCAAUGCACUAUGACAGGUCAUAAGUCAACUGUAUCUUCUCUAGUGGUAGCUGAUGGGGUACUUUAUAGUGGAAGUUGGGAUGGUACCAUUCGGUUAUGGUGGCUGAGUGAUCACAGCCCUUUAUCAGUAUUAGGAGAUGAUAAUACACCGGGAAGUUUCUCCCCCAUUUUGUCACUUUCAGCACAAUCUGGUUGGGUCAUUUCAUCCUAUGAGAAUGGUUUUAUAAAGGUUUGUGGUUUUAUACGUGCUUAUAUAGCAAUUUCCUUUAUUUGUCUAGAAUUAUUUCCAUGGGUGAGGAUACGAGUAGGAAGAUGGAAUAAAUAAGCAUUAUCUUUGCAGUUGACAACAAAACAUUCUAUUAUCAUCUGUAAUUUGAAUCAAUUGCCAACCUCUUGAUUAUAUAAGUUGUAACAAAAUGGCAAUAAUUUAGGACUAAUCAGAUUAACAGAUAUUAGGUUAGCUUGCUUGUGGUUUUCUUUUUUGGUUAGAAGUUGCUUAGGUCUCGUUGAGAGUAUCUGUAAUUUUUCUUAAUAUUAAUUCCAUCAGAUAUGGAGGAAUGAUGUGCUCCUGAGGGCAGAGAAAAUCCACAAUGGAUCUAUUUAUGCACUCCAAAUGGAUAAUAACUGCUUUUUUACCGGAGGAUGGGAUAAACUUAUCAAUAUUCAGGUCCGUGAUUGCUUAUUUUAUUAAUUUAUUAUUUAUUGGCGUCACAAGCAGCCUUCAAAAAUUUAAGUGAACUCGAGCUAUUUCAUAGUUGAUAGUUGAUACCCAUAUAUGCGCAGUGAAUUGCUAUCUUCUGGUUCGCAAAAACUUAAAUUUUUUUUUUCACAGGAAUUGUCAGAAAAUGAGUCAGAAGUGGAUUUAAGAAAUAUUGGCUCAAUUGUUUGUGAUUCAUUUAUUACUUCUCUUCUGUAUUGGCAAGGGAAGCUAUUUGUCGGGCUUUCAAAUAAGGAAAUAAAGGUACCUAUCAAUUAUCUCUCCCUUUUAUUUUUGUUAGUGAUAAUUGAUUGUUUAUUUCUUCAAAAAAGAAAAAAGAAAAGAGAAAAAAGAAGCAAGUGAUUGCCCUUUGAUGCCUUCUACCGAAUGCCUUUUUUAUGCUCUUCUUAUUUUUGUUGUCUGGAUUCACGACGGUUUGCUUUUCUCAUUUGUUUGAACUUGUUAAGAUGGCUUGUUCUUAGGUGUACAAUCAACUUAAAUUUGCUGAGACUACUCUUGCGAUUGUCUCAUUUAGAUAGAAUUCCUUGUUUCAGGCAUUUUACCAGGAUUAAGUAUGAUUAUCCUUUUCGGUGGCUUGAAAUUUGUACUUGAAUGGCCUAUUAUGGUUUUUUGUCAUGCAUUACAAUUAAGAUAUAAAUUAUACCCUAUUAAUGAAGGGUAUAUAUCUACAGAUAGUCCCUGAAUUAUCAUCUAACUGGAAUUUGGUCCCUUAUUAUUCACUUAAUCAGAUGAAUUUUGGAACUUACUGCUGUACCAUAGGAAAAGUAGAAAAAAAAAAUCCCUUUUCUUUGCAUUCUAUCUUAACCGCGUGGUAAUCAAGCGAUAUCAUAGUAUGGCUAAUCAAAUUUGACUGAUCUUUUUUUUUUUUUUCUCACUUCUCCAGGUGUACUACUAUGGGUCUCAAUGAAGAAUUCAACGCUCAGCUAUGGUUCAUAAAUCUAUCAAUAGUUUGUUAAAAUUGUUCGAAGCUACGAAUGAAUCAGUUUAACGCAACUGGAUGGAAUCAAACAAUUAGGCACUUCACACUUGACAGUAAAUAGGGGCUUUUUUUGAAAAUGAUCCUGUAGAAUUUUGUAAUUGGCAAAAUGACCCUCUAAAAAUUUUAUUUGUAAAACUAACCCUUCUUUCGCCACGUCGGCGUCAUCUUAGAUUUUUCUCGCAAAGACGGUGAAUCGUUCACCGUCUUUGCAUAUGACUCAUGAAGGCGGUGAAUGGUUCACCGCCUUCUAUAGUACCCUUGAGAAGACGGUGAAUGGUUUACCGCCUUCUCUAGGCGUGAACCAUUCACCGCCUUCUUAAUGCUUUUGGUGCUCGAGCAAGCACCUUCAUAAGACGGUGAAUCGUUCACCGUCUUCCUAAGACGGUGAAUUAUUAACCGUCUUUAGAGUAAAACUUCCACCCAGCCUAAUUUAGCUAAGUCCUCGAAUCCGAACUAAAGCACAGAGAGGACGGUGAAUGGUUCACCGUCUUAUCAUGGCUGCACUAAAGGCGGUGAACCAUUCACCGCCUUUAGUGCAAACAGCAGCAGGUGAUAUUUUUCAGCUCGAUUUUAAAAUCAAUUUGAACAAGUUUCAGACAAGUAUUUUCACGAUAACAAAUAUUCCAACAAGAAACACAACAUCACAAGUGGAAUAACAAGAUACAAUCAACCGGAUAAAAAUAUCAAACAAAACACAGAUAAAUAUACAAAUAUGAAUUAAAUAAAGUAUUAUAUAAUAUUAUACAAAGUCUAAGUUAUCUAAAUAAAAAAUAUACAAUCAGUCUCUCGAUCUUCCUCUCCCUCGACAUCCUUGGCCACGGCCACGUCUACGUCUAAGGCCACCCCUGUACAUCGAGCAUAGGUACGUCAUCAAAUGCUUCGAUACCGGCCAUCUGAUCAAGAUUCGUAAUGAUAAUGUCCUCGGGAUGCUCCAGAAUCGCUUAAGUCUCCUCUGGCUCAGGUCGAUCACCCUCGAUAGUGGCCGGUAUAGAUGCUGGGCGGGCCUGUGAUGAUGACGCGGCAUGACGUCGAGAGUAGACUAAUCUAAAGUGCUCUCGAGAGACUGGCGGCAGAAGCGAGUCCAAGUCCAAUGGUAAGGAAGGAAAUCUUGAAGGGACGGUGAGCAUAUCUGCAACAUCACUAGGAGAUGGAGAUCGUGACACUCGUAGGCUCGAUCUCGAGUAUGAUCCAGUCGAUGUCGGUGAGUGUCUCCUGUGAUGACCCGAUGUCGAGGGUUGACCAAAAUCUCGACCUCCAACAUCAGCGGCGACAGGUAUGGAAGGAAUGUACUCCAGUAGUGACUCAAUAUGGACAUCUAUGCUCGUCAAUGUCUCCAUCAUCGCAUCGUAAGAAGGUCGAUCAUGAACUAGCAUUGUGAUGCCCAUUUGAGUCUGUCGUAAUGCGUCCACCUGCAUUAUAGAUAAGAAUUCACUAUUUGCAAUUUAUAUUAAAUAUAAGAUUAAAAAAAAAUUAACAUAUGAGUGAUCGUACGAAAGCUCUCUCGGUCUAGCCGCGAGGCUGGUAAGUCAAUGGUGGACGCUGUACUGGACGAGAAAUUCAUCUUCUCGUGAUCUGCCAAUACCACUCCAUAUAAAUAGAUGUCGCUUGUACCGGGUCAUCACCGACAAUCGGAUGCUGGUCAAUAAUAGCAUGUAAUCUCUGUCUCCAUCUCUCGAUGUGUGCAGUAUGAAAGUGGACCCAAUCCUCAUCUGGCCGCCCCUGAGAUGUGAUGCGACGGAUGGUCUUCACGUGAAUUGGUAUAUGCUGGAGGAGACCAAACUGCCGUAGGACUCGAUCGGGCAUGUGAAGCUCAACAAUAUGAAAGCAAAUCAGUGUCGUCCUCGAUCGUCGUACCUCGCUGCCCUGUACAUAGAAUGUCGAUAGCACAUCUAUAAUAGCAUCUGUGUACGGCCGCCAUGUAAUCUGUGAAAAAGCCAAUAAUAGUCAGCUGAAUGCAUUAAUACGGUUGUAUAUUGAAAAAAAUUAUUGCAUUAAUACGUACCUGAGACGCUCGCUGCUGAUCUAACUCAUCUCUAUAGAACUCAAUAUCUGUCGUCCUAACAUUUGCCCCAAAACGUAACCCGCCGGCGUUCGUCCACCUAAUAUUUGAAAAGUAUGUUAGUUGCAAAUGUAUAUAUAGAAAUGUAAUAUGUAUCAUAUUUAAUUGUCAUACCGGCAACCCAAAGGGCAAUCAGCCAUGUCGGCAAUAGCUCCAACGCUAGUAGGUCGGCCGACAUGAAGAUGGUUCCAUGUCCAAAUCUAUAAAUAAAUUACAAUAAAUUAGACAGGUGAAUUUAAAUAGGAGAAACUUUAUAUAACAAUUAUUAAAUAUUACUGAUAAUACAUGUACUAAUGUCGCUAAGCAACAGCAUUCAACCUUUUCAUUUAAUGAAGCUGUUCACAAUGCUCGAUAAAGGUAGGCCAAUGCUGCCGCACCCCAGGCUAAACCGCCAUAUGCAUCAAAAUCCGCUAAACAAUCAGUCUCUCGUGACACUUAAGGUGAGGAUGUGGCUGCCACUUUUGGCGGAUUUUGAUGCAUGUAGCGGUUUAGCUUGGGGUGCGGUAGCAUUGGCCUACCUUUAUCAAGCAUUGGGAACGGCUUCAUUAAAUGAAAAGGUCGAAUGCUGUUGCUUCGCGACAUUAGUACAGGUAUUAUCAGUAAUAUUUAAUAAUUAUUAUAUAAAGUUUCUCCUAUUUAAGUUCACCUGUCUAAUUUAUUAUAAUUUAUAGAUUUGGACAUGGGACCAUCUUCAUGUCGGUCGACCUACUAGCGUUGGAGCUAUUGCCGACAUGGCUGAUUGCCCUUUGGGUUGCCGGUAUGACAAUUAAAUAUGAUACAUAUUACAUUUAUAUAUAUACAUUUGCAACUAACAUACUUUUCAAAUAUUAGGUGGACGAACGCCGGCGGGUUACGUUUUAGGGCAAAUGUUAGGACGACAAAUAUUGAGUUCUAUAGAGAUGAGUUAGAUCAGCAGCGAGCGUCUCAGGUACGUAUUAAUGCAACAAUUUUUUUCAAUAUACAACCGUAUUAAUGCAUUUAGCUGACUAUUAUUGGCUUUUUCACAGAUUACAUGGCGGCCGUACACAGAUGCUAUUAUAGAUGUGCUAUCGACAUUCUAUGUACAGGGCAGCGAGGUACGACGAUCGAGGAUGACACUGAUUUGCUUUCAUAUUGUUGAGCUUCACGUGCCCAAUUGAGUCCUACGGCAGUUUGGUCUCCUCCAGCAUAUACCAAUUCACGUGGAGACUAUCCGUCGCAUCACAUCUCAGGAGCGGCCAGAUGAGGAUUGGGUCCACUUUCAUGCUGCACACAUCAAGAGAUAGGGACAGAGAUUACAGGCUAUUAUUGACCAGCAUCCGAUUGUCGGUGAUGACCCGGUACAGGCGACAUCUAUUUAUAUGGAGUGGUAUUGGCAGAUCACGAGAAGAUGGAUUUUUCGUCCAGUACAGCGUCCACCAUUGACUUACCAGCCUCGCGGCCAGACCGAGAGAGCUUUCGUACGAUCACUCAUAUGUUAAUUUUUUUUUAAUCUUAUAUUUAAUUUAAAUUGCAAAUAGUGAGUUCUUAUCUAUAAUGCAGGUCGAUGUAUUACGACAGACUCAAAUGGGCAUCACAGGACUAGUUCAUGAUCGGCCUUCUUACGAUGCGAUGAUGGAGACAUUGAUGAGCAUAGAUGUCCAUAUUGAGUCACUACUGGAGUACAUUCCUUCCAUACCUGUCGCCGCUGAUGUUGGAGGUCGAGAUUUUGGUCAACCCUCGACAUCGGGUCAUCACAGGAGACACUCACCGACAUCGACUGGAUCAUACUCGAGAUCGAGCCUACGAGUGUCACGAUCUCCAUCUCCUAGUGAUGUUGCAGAUAUGCUCACCGCCCCUUCAAGAUUUCCUACCUUGCCAUUGGAUUUGGACUCGCUUCCGCCGCCAGUCUCUCGAGAGCACUUUAGAUUAGUGUACUCUCGACGUCAUGCCGCGUCAUCAUCAUAGGCCCCCCCAGCAUCUACACCGGCCACUAUCGAGGGUGAUCGACUUGAGCCAGAGGAGACUUAGGCGAUUCCGGAGCAUCCCGAGGGCAUUAUCAUUGCGGAUCUCGAUCAGAUGGUCGGUAUCGAGGCACUUGAUGACGUACCUAUUGCUGAGCUCGAUGUACAGGGUGGCCGUAGACGUGGCCGUGGCCGAGGACGUCGAUGGAGAGGAAGAUCGAGAGACUGAUUGUAUAUUUUUGAUUUAGAGAGCAUACUUUGUAUAAUAUUAUAAAUACUUUAUUUAGUUCAAUUUGUAUAUUUGUCUGUGUUUUGUUUGAUAUUUUUAUCCGGUUGAUUGUAUUUUGUUAUUCCACUUGUGAUGUUGUGUUUUUUGUUGGAAUAUUUGUUAUCGUGAAAAUACUUGCCUCAAACUUGUUCAAAUUGAUUUUAAAAUCGAGCUGAAAAAUAUCACCUGCUGCUGUUUGCACUAAAGGCGGUGAACCAUUCACCGCCUUUAGUGCAAAUCCCCCACAGCCGCAAAAAAAUUGGCUAAGUCCUGAACUGGGGGCUGUUUGCACUAAAGACGGUGAAUGGUUCACUGCCUUUAGUGCAGCCAUGAUAAGACGGUGAACCAUUCACCGUCUUAUCUGUACUUUAGCUCGGAUUCGAGUACUUAGCUAAAUUAGGCUGGGUGGGAGUUUUACUCUAAAGACGGUGAACGAUUUACCGUCUUAUGUAGGUGCUGGCUCGAGCACCAAGGGCAUUGUGAAGGCACGCGGCAAGGGCAUUAAGAAGGCGGUGAAUGGUUCACGUUUAAAGAAGGUGGUAAACCAUUCACCGUCUUCUCGAGAGUAUUAUAGAAGGCGGUGAACCAUUUACCGUAUUCAUGAGUCAUAUGCAAAGACGGUGAAAGAUUCACCGUCUUUGCGAGAAAAAUCUGAGGUGGCACCGACGUGGCGAAAGGAGGAUUAAUUUUACAAAUAAAAUUUUCAGAGGGUCAUUUUGCCAAUUACAAAAUUCUACAGGAUCAUUUUCAAAAAAAGCCCGUAAAUAGAGAACAUGCUUUGUCAAAUCAGUCUACAGUGUAUAGUUCUGUUUUUUUUUCUUUUCUUCUCUUCUCUUUCCUUUUUGCUGUAAAUGCUGAAUUGUUCUGCAAAUAAAUUUGACAGAUGGUCUUUGAAUCCUUUUCAGAUUAUUUAUGGCCUUUUUGAAUAUAUGAUUAUCUCGCUCACACCAUCCUUUUUUUAUCCUUUUUUGUUUGCGCAAGAAACAAGUGUUGAUUUGUGGACGUGAGAAAAUGUUUAUUAUUAGGAAUACAUUAUAAGAAAAAUCAUGAUGAUAAGACCUCGCACUUUGGCGGCCAAAGGUUUAUUUGUUUCUUGGAAGCUGAAGUUCGGGUUGAAGCAGAUUCUCGGAUGAAUUGCUUUUCUUUCGUUAUUGGUUUCUAUAGUUAUGGAAUUGACGUUCCUUCAAAUUUGCUAUUUAUUUGGUAAAAAGUGAAUGACAUGAAAGCUAAAGUUUUAUAUCGUUAGUAUUUUAUUAUUUUUUCACUCUUUUUUUUUUUCUUUCUGUAAUUGACUUUGAUUUGGGAUAUGCCUAAGUUAGCAACAGUAUUUCAAAACGUUUGAGGUUUGAUAGUAGGUGAAAUUACGGUGAUCAAAAAAAUGGAAGUUAGUAUUUGCAGUUAAAAACUACUCUGACCCUCUCCACUUUUGGUUCCAUAAUGUACUUGCACAUCGAUCAAUUCUCAUGUUGUGUUUUUUUUUUUUUUUUUUGGAGAAACUUCAAAUAACCCCCUUGUAGUUUCACUUUUUUUCACUUUAGUACCCUGUGGUUUAAAGUGUAUCAAGUUAGUACCAUGUGGUUUCUCACUUUAUCACUUUAGUACCUUAUGGUUUAAAGUGUAUCAAGUUAGUACCAUGUGGUUUCGCACUUUAUCACUUUAGUACCCUGUGGUUUUGCACUUUAUUAUUUUAGUACCCUAUGGUUUAAAAACCACAGGGUACUAACUUGAUACAAAUAAAACUAUAGGGUACUAACUUGAUACAAAAAUAAAAUCACGAAGUACUAACUUGAUGCAUUUUAAACCACAGGGUACUAAAGUGAUAAAGUGAGAACCCACAGGGUACUAACUUGAUACAUUUUAAACCAUAUGGUACUAAAAUGAAAAAGUGCGAAACCACAAGGGGGGUUUUUGAAGUUUUUCCCUUUUUUUUUUUUGAGAAAAGGUAGCGUGCUACCACUUCAUUAAUUUAGAAUAUGAACUUGGCUAUAAGGUGCGACAGCCGGAACCUCAGGAAAAAGGAAAAAAGAAAAUAAACUAAACUAAAAUAAGAUAAAUAAGGAUAAGGUAAAGUAAGAAAACAUCGACCCAUCGAAUUGUGAGGGCAGAAACUAAGCCAUAAAUUUUUGAGAGAUCUAAUCUCUGCCAACAAGUACCCCGGUGGGUGUUUUGUCUUCACGAAGAUUUUUCUGUUCCUUUCCAACCAGAGAACCCACCAAGUAGUGGCAAUAGUCGCUAAUUCUCAUGUUGAGAGAUCUAAUUCUCAUGUUGUGUUGUUUAGAAAAAAUAUUCUAAUAUUAUUUGAAAAAAUUUACUUUUUGUUGAAGGCAUGUUUAGUUAUGAGGAAUUAUAACCCUCGAUAGUCCUGAUUUUGUUAAACUCAACUUUGCAAGCAAUAUCACGAUUUUGUGCUGUAAGCUAAGAACAGAGACUUUAAAACAAGAUAGAAUGUGGGUUUCACAUAAUCUCAAAAGUUCACGACAUUUUCAGUUAUAAAAUUAUUAUCACGAUUUUAUAUCGUACGCUAAGUAUAGAAAUUUUGAAAUGAAAUAAAUGAGUUUCAUAUAAUCUCGAUAGUUUACAGUAUCUUUCAAUCGCAAAUUGUUGUCAAUUACAUAUAUAAAUCAAUUUGCCUCUUGAAUUUAUUUAAAACAAUUAAUGUGGCAAAAGUCAAAUCGGCUCUCCGAAGUAGCAGCAGUAGCGUACUCCAAAUUAUAUUACUUUCUCUCCUGCAUCUUCCAAUUUGAAAAAUUAAAACAAAAAGAAACUAAAGAAAACAAAUUCAUUUUGAAUGUGUUGGGCCAUCCAUUUAAUUAUCUUUUUCAUCUCUCACACCGUACCAUGCGAAAAAAAAAAGAAUUUCAAAAAAAAAUAAUUAAAGGAAACAAAAUGACCAUUUUGAAAAGGAACCUGGAGCGGGAACCCCCCAUCGAUUCUCUCUCUCUCUCUCUCUCUCUCUCUCUCUCGAUCGGCGACCAAACCCUACCACCUCCCAUGGCGAAGCCACUCAGCCUCAACGAGCGCAACGAUCGCCUCCUCCACCACCUCUCCCGCAGCCGCCCCCGGAACCCUAACCCUAAUCCGCAGCCUCGCGCCGGUACCUCCUGAAACCCUAAUUUCGCGCACUUCCUCCCCUCAAAACCCUAAUUUUGAUCUUCAUUGAUGCUCCUGUUGUCGUUCGAUUGCAGAGGUGAGGGUGCGGAAGGUGAAGCUCGAGGGUCGCCGCCGCCUGUGCAAGCUCUCCGCCGCCGCUGAUGAUGAUGAUGAGGUCGCGGAUGGUGGGAAUUGGCUGGAUUCGCCGCCUACGGUGAAGGAGGGCGGAGGAAGUGGUGGUGGGGGUGGUUGCGACAGUAUUAGAGACAUCUUGGACGAUCUCAGCUCCCGGCUCGAGCUUCUGUCCGUGGAGAAGCCGAAGCCGAAGCCGAAGCCGAAGCAGGAGCCCGCGCCACAUAAAUCGGAGCCAGAAGUGGAGUAUAGGAGUGCCACCUCCUCUCUAUCGGAUCCGUCGCCCUCCCUUUCAAGCCCGGAUGAGGUAAAAGAGACUAAGAAUUGUGGGGAGGAAGUGAAAGGAAAAGCCCCCAAACGCCUUGUUUUAGAUGUCGAUGAAGAGGACGAGGAGGAGAAGGAAGAGGAAAGUGUGGCUUCUAAAAGCAGUUGGAAUGAAGAAUCUGAGGUUCUUGACGAUGAGAAUGAAGGGGCUUUGAGCGAUGCCCAGGAUGAAGAUGGAGAGGACUUUACCAUGGCCGGAACUGGGGUGAGCAAAUCAAGGGUUUAUAAGCUUCCUGAUAAAAUUGUUAAAAAGCUUUACCCGCAUCAACGAGAUGGGUUGAAAUGGCUGUGGUCGUUGCACUGCAAGGCAACGGGAGGGAUUCUGGGUGAUGACAUGGGUCUGGGAAAGACGAUGCAGGUGAAGCUCAUCAUCUCCUCUUCUUGAUUGCUUAUUGGUCUUGAAACAAAACUAAAACUUGAUCUUCGUGCUUAGUAUAGCAUAGUUGCAUUUAUAAUUGUGUUAUGCCACCAUUUUUAGUUCCUGUGAAUCUUUCUAGGAAGAGGAGUAUUAUAGGUUUCUCUUGCUUAUCUGUUUUACAGUCUAUAACUGUAGCCGACGCCGUCAUGUCUAUGUGGGAAACAGCAACAUACUGCAUAGGUUUUCUAAAUGAGAAGAAGUACUUAUGAUUUUAGUGAAGUUCCUCAUCUGCUGAUAUCAACAUCUCCAAACAAGUGGGAAUGCCAUUCCUACCUCUUGCCCUGCUUUUGAAGAGUUACCCAUCUUAAACACUCAUUAAAUGAGAGAAUUUUUUGAUCAUUUUUCUACCUUGAGAUGUCAUUUGAAAUGAUUCAUCAAUGAACGUCCUUGCUAACUUCUGAUAUGGCUAUGUUUGUAUGUCCUUUUCUUCUAGAGCUUUGAAUGGCUUAAUCAUCAUAUAUUUACAAGAUUACGAAAGACACAUGUUUGUUAAUGUGCAAGAGAAUUAUAUUUCUUGAUUUGAGAAUCUUAUAUUAUGUUUUGAUCCUUGUCCUUUUGAACACUAUUUAGUACUUCCACCUUGCUGAUGCCUGGUGGUCUUGAAGCUUUUUUUUUCUUUCAGAUUUGUGCUUUCUUGGUCGGUCUUUUCCAUUCACUCUUAAUCAGGAGGGCGCUGGUUGUAGCCCCAAAGACACUUCUAGUUCAUUGGAUGAAAGAGCUCUCAGUUGUGGGCCUCGGUGAGAAGAUUAGAGAGUAAGAUUUAUCUCACAUCCAUUACUUUUAUCUAGCUGAGAGAGUAACAGCUUCUUGUUUGAUGAUCUUUAUAUUUAAUUCAUCUUAUGCAGCUACUCUGGAACUAAUGCAAACGCUCGCAACUAUGAACUUCAAUACACACUCAAGGUCUUAUUCCGGUUUCCGUUUAAGAAAAGCAACCUUUUCUUCCUGUGGUUGACAUGAGGCCUUGAAUAAAAUAAGCUUCUGUUAGUAACCUGUAAUCCUUUCUAUAGGAAGGCGGCAUCCUUCUAACAACAUAUGACAUUGUGCGAAACAAUUAUAAGGCAAUACGAGGCUCUUUGUAUGCUAAUGCUGAUGACACUGAUGAAGAAAUCAUAUGGGACUAUGUAAUUCUUGAUGAGGGACAUAUUAUCAAGAAUCCAAAGACACAAAGGGCCAAAAGUCUAGUUGAGAUACCUAGUGAUCAUCGCAUUGUCAUUAGUGGAACACCAAUACAGAACAACUUGAAGGUAACUCUUUAUGUAAUUAGAUUACGUGAUUUCCUUGGACUUUCAUGUAAUUUGAAGUUAACUAUGUUGUUAUUUUCACUUGCAACUAGGAACUAUGGGCGUUGUUCAACUUUUGCUGCCCAGAAGUCCUGGGUGAUAAGGAUGAGUAAUGAGCAAAUUUUUGAUAUAGACUUUCCUAUUUUUCAAGAGUUAAAUGAAUACUAAACAAUGUUUAUGUUUUCUUUUGAAGGUUCAAAAUACGAUACGAAAAUGCAAUCCUUCGUGGGAAUGAUAAAAAUGCUUCAGAUCGAGAAAAACAUAUUGGUUCCACUGUUGCAAAGGUGAGAUUCAUUGUCACUCACACACCAUCAAUUCUUUGACCGUAAUUUGCAUCAUAAUACUAGAUUUUUUAGCUUGGAUUAUCAUUUGAAGACCAAUGCUAAGUUUUAGAACAUGUUUAUUUACUAGUUCAUUGUGACUUCUGAGAUAUAGAGGAAAGAACAAUUGCAUUUUCCUUUUAUCACAUUGCUAUUCUUUGUUCUUUUUUGCUUUACUAUCUUUCUAAUUGACUAUCUCCAAAUAUUGUUUUUGGUUUGCCAUCUGUGUAUGUGGUCCUUUCUCCUUGUUUCUUCAUUUUGGGAAUUAAAAUCAUCUUGCACAGGAACUAAGGGAGCGGAUAAAACCGUACUUCUUGCGACGUUUGAAAAGUGAAGUAUUUCUGGAAGAUGAUUCUGCUAAAACAGCUAAGCUUGCUAAAAAGAAUGAAAUAAUUGUUUGGCUGAAAUUAACACCUUGCCAGGUACUAAAGAUUCCUUCCAUGUACGAAAUUAUUCCUUCUCAUAAACUUAAUUUAUCAAAAAGUAAAUCUGUAGUCUUUUCACUUUCUAAUUUUAGGCUCUUUUGGAUGCAGAGGCAACUAUAUGAAGCUUUUCUGAACAGUGAGCUGGUUCAUUCUUCAAUACAUGGUUCUUUGUUAGCUGCAAUAACGGUGAUUGUCACCGUUUUUUUUAGAUUUUUUUUUUUUUUUUGAUAAGCUGAUUGCUCCUGGAAUUAGUAAGUUUAAUCUUUGCUGUAUGUAUGAAUCCAUCACCAUUCAAACAUCUUGUAUUUAUCAGCUGAAAGGUCGUAAUUCCAUGUUGUUGAAUCAAACUAUGCAGCUAAGCAGUCGCAUAAUCCUAGCCAUUAAAAUUAUAUCCCUCAUUUCAUUCAAAAUGAACUUGAACGAAACCAACUAUAAACCCCAUUGUUAGAUUAUACAACAUGAUAUAGAGUUUGUAAGGUAGAAUGAAAGGGAUGUUAAAUGAGAAGUUGAAUAUGCUGCUUAUUAAUGAUCAUGGAUAACUGAAUCUCAUCUGAUUAGUGCCUUGUUAUAUUCUGUUGGCUUUCUGAAACAGAUAUUGAAGAAAAUAUGUGAUCACCCAAUGCUGUUGACUAAAAAAGCUGCAGAGGGUGUGCUAGAAGGGAUGGAUUCAAUGCUGAAUGAUAGAGAUAUGGGCAUGGUGGAAAGGAUGGCCAUGAGUCUAGCAGAGAUGACUGAUGAUAAUGAUUUACAAGUUGAUCGCAAUGUCUCAUGCAAAAUAUCUUUCAUUCUGUCCUUGCUGGUUAGAAUUCUUCUUCCUUUUUACAUGUCAACUAUAAAAAAAAAAUUGCAUUCAUAAAUUUUGACCUGCUUUGGUUCUUAUUUUGCAGAAAAACCUGAUUGAGGAGGGACAUAUUGUGCUAAUCUUUUCCCAGACUCGGAAAAUGUUAAACAUAAUACAGGUUAGUUUUUGUUCUUUACAAAAUAAAGGUAAAUUCUCUGCUAGGACUAAGUUUUUCUAUUCUGAUACUUAUGGCGGUAUAAAAGGAUAUUGUAUAAAAAAAAUGGAUUUUUUUUCCCUCUGCUUUCUUCUCUCCUUUUUGCCAGUUGAUUUUUAUUUUUUAUUCUAUAAAUCAGGAAGCAAUACAAGAAGAAGGUUAUAACUUUUUACGCAUUGAUGGUACUACCAAAGUUUCUGAUAGGGAAAAGAUUGUGAAGGUUCGUUUUGGUUUUAUCUGGAUAGAAUAGUUACUGGGAUAUUCUUUCCUUAUUUAUGGUGUAUUUGUAAAAUUAUAUGCCUUCUAGGACUUCCAAGAGGGCAUCGGAGCUCCUAUUUUUCUGUUGACUUCACAAGUUGGUGGACUAGGUCUUACACUAACAAAAGCAGAUCGUGUCAUUGUGGUUGAUCCAGCAUGGAAUCCAAGGUAAUUUGAGCGUUCCACAUGAAGGCUGUUCAUGUAAUUGACCUGUAUAUUCGAUUAUUCGUAUAUUCUUUUGAAUAGUUCCAAAUAAUUAAAAUUCUACUUUUUGGAGAAUAUUUUUUGCUUAAUUUAGUUUUCCAACUACAGUCUUCUGUAUCUUAAGAGAAUGCUUUUUGGUUUUCUACAGUACGGAUAACCAAAGUGUUGAUCGUGCUUAUCGGAUCGGACAGACAAAGGAUGUUCUUGUGUACCGUCUAAUGACAAGUGGAACAAUUGAGGAGAAGAUAUACAAGAUGCAGGUUAAAUUUUUCUAUGAAAAUAUGUUUUGAUUUUCCUUUCCAAUAUCUUUUAGGGAUGAUUUCUGUUGAUAAACAUCUUCAUUUAUCUAGGAGCCUGCAUAUUAGUUCGUGAUUACUGCAACUGAUUAGUGUGCUUAUGAAUGUGUAAACUCUUCAGGUCUUCAAAGGUGGCCUAUUUAGAACUGCAACAGAGCACAAAGAGCAAACUAGGUACUUCAGCAAGAAGGUAAUCACACUUCUUUCUACAUUAUCUACUGACUGUUGGCAUCAUUGCUCCCGUAGGUUGCUUCCUUGGGAAUUUUGAUUAAAAAAACACUUGUAGAAAAGCCCCUAAUUGCUGAUGCACCUUGUUAUCAUUUUUUGUUGUUCUUGUGUGGAACUGUUCCAGGAUAUACAAGAGCUAUUUAGGCUCCCGGAGCAAGGGUUUGAUGUUUCAGUAACUCAAAAGCAAUUACAAGAGGAGCAUGAUAAGCAACAUAAUAUGUAUGUUCUUUAAUUUGAUAUCCUCUUUCUUACCCUUUUUUGAGAGGAACGUAUUUGAAGUUGGUAUCGCACAUAUUUGUGCCGUAAAUAUCUACAUAGUGUGGCACCGCUUCCACGGCAUGAACCUUUUGGAACCUACUGAAUCUCUUAGGGUAGAUUGCUUUAUUUUCUCUAAUUUGAUCUGUUGCUGAUAUUUCUUAUUAGACUGGAUGCAUGGACUCCAUCUCAUUUUCAUUGUUAGUCUAUUUUUCAAAAUAAGUGCCCAAAGAAAGAUACCCAGUUAAGUUCUUACAAUAUAAGAGCUUUUAGAGGUUUGGUGGCAUUCUAAAGAGAUUCUGAACUUUCUCUAUCUUGAGAUUUUCCUAAUGUGUUUUUAAAAUUCGCAAGUUUAUCAUGAAAUAUCAUAUAAUUUCCCUUGAUAUGCUAUGCUCGUUUAGUUUGAUACCGCUCAAAACAGCUCUUAACUUUUCUACAUUGUUAUUUCACUGUUUGUACAAGUUGUAAACAAUUGUUAUUAGGAAAAUUAUGUUCUCCAACUAAGGAGAUGGAGAUUUUAGAGAAGAGAGAAUAUGAAUGACAUUCGUUUGAAAAAUGUUACGGACAAUGUUCAUUCUUGUGCUAGUAGUCAUCAACACUUGAAUCGACUUUGCCAUUGAAAAUCCUUCAUAAUGUUGCUAUUGUUUUCGCUUUGUCAGGAGUGAUUCUUUGAGGAACCAUAUAAAGUUUCUGGAGCAACAAGGAAUAGCUGGUGUUAGCCACCACAGCUUGCUCUUCUCGAAAACCGCAGUUGUGCCUUUAGUGCAUGAGGAUAACGAAAUACAGAGGUCCGACUCUUCGCAGACUGAUGAAUUUUUACUUUCUUACUAAUACUUUGCAGAAUAUUAUUCAUUCGUAUAACCUUGAAGGCUGAUCUCCGCUGACUUGAUAGUUGUAUGCUGUGCUUAAAUUACUAAGCACUAACUGCUUCAUUUUGCAGCAAAGUAAAAGAUCGAAUUAUAAGAAGCUCAAUGUGGCAUUCAUCAUCUGAACAUGUAGCCCACGGGUAUAUUAUAAAUAACAUGAUCCUAAACCUCACUUAAAUUAAAGGGUGAUUUUUGGGACUAAGUCUGACAUAUAUUUGUUUUAUUUAUUACAGAGCACAGUAUGCAUUUAACCCGAAAGACCCGAAAUUCACUUCCAGAACAUAUAGCUCACGAACUUUCACUGAUGAAGUCAGAGAUAGCCCGGAAGAUAUUGAGGGGAAGAUUAAGCGGCUUUCUCAUACUUUAACUAACAAGGUGAUGCAUUUAAAAAUAUUACUUUGUUUAGGUAUUUCUUUUUAAUUCUUUUUGGCCCGCAUAUCUUUUCACAUAUUGGAAAUUGCAUGGUUCCAAAGUUGCUAUUGGCAUACGUGUCUCUGAAAACCUUCCUUUUGGUGCAUUUUUGGCCGCCCCUGUGACCUUUACUUGAUUAUAUAAUUCACUCACCUUAUGAUCUUUUUGUUGCCUUUUGGGGAAAUAAACUUGAAUUGCAGGACUUGAUUGCAAAACUUCCCGACCACGGGGAUAAGAUUAGGAGGCAGAUACUUGAACUGGAGCUACAGCUCCAUUCAGUGGUAGAGUCUACUCAUGAUCAUUCGCCGAAGACAAAGGAGAAAGCGGUAAUUUGUAUAGAUGAUAUAGCCUCGGAAUUUGAACAAAUAUUAUCGGUUUAGCCGUUGUUGAUUUGAUCCAGUUGCAUAGUCAUUGUAUGCCAAUGAGUUUGCGGUUCAUAUUCUCCUCCACUUCAAGUGAUGAAGGGUUCACUUUUAUGAUCAUAUCUUAUAUAUAUAUAUAUAUAUAUAUAUAUAUAUAUAUAUAUAUUGUAAAAAUUGAUGUUGCGCUAAUCGCAAAAAACAGCUUCUCUGUUUGUAUGUUCUGCUGUAUGCAAAAAGAAAAACUAUUUCUUUUCCUGAGCUUUGCUUUAGUUGAGAGGUCUCACUUGUUGUUGAAUGCUUUAUCUGCGCUACUGCAGCAGCUCGGAGUUUGUCCAAUAAUGAGAAAGUGGUCACUUUCAAAAGUUUCAACACCUUAUAUCUAUCAAUUGAUUGUGAAUUGGUCACUUAUGGAUGCUAUUUAUGUUUUCACCUCUUUAUCUUUUGAAAAAAAACAAAAAAGUUACUAAGGAUGGAGAAUUUUUGAAUUUUUUUUUUUAGAGGGGGCCUCUUAUCCGUAGGCUCCAAAUCUCCCUCUGGGCGUGUAAUAUUCUAAUCCAAAAAAAUUUGGCCUCGUAGUUUUUUUUUUUUUUUUUUUUUUUUUUGAACUCGUACUCGAAAAGAUUGAUCCUGAUUAUACACUAUUAGUCUAUCUUAGUGGUGUAUUAGUGUGAAGUUGCAGCUUUGCUAAUUGGAGAUUUUUCAUAAAGAAAAAAAGUUUUUUUUUUUUUUUUCAUUAUUUAUUUAUUUUUUUUUUUGUGUGCGCGUGUGAGAGAGAAAUAGAGUAUACCCAUAAGCUUUUAUUGAGAAAUAAAGUUCUCUUGCAUGCUAGGGCUAUUAUAGUCUUACGAGUAUAAAUUUUUUCAUACUUAUAAGUUUAUAGUCGUUGGAUAAAGAAAUGCAUGGUUAGGAUAAUAGUGAUCUCCAAUUAGGGUGAUAGUGCUUCUUUAUGGUUGAGUGAGUGAUUGGUUGAAUAAUUUGGUCUAAUGGAUGAAAAUGGUUAAAAGGAUAAAUGUAACCGCCAAAAAUUUAUAAGUAUAAAAAGAUAUAUACUUAUAAGAGUAUAAUAGCCGCACUCCGCUCUUACAAAUGUUAUUAUUUUGGAAAAGGUAAUUCAACAUAACCUGUGUAGAGAGUAAAUAAGAGGACGAAAAUUACGAUUCCUCGACCUAAAUGAAGAGAACUUCGGUGAGGACUCAGUAUAUCGGUCUCCAAACCUUAACAAUCUAACUCAUAAGAAAGAGGAAAAAUAUCGGAUGAGUGAAUGCUUCGGCCUCAGAAAUUUUUCCUAACAUUCCCGAAGGUAUUCAACGCUUAAACUAUCGGGUGAGUGAAUGCUUCGGCCUUAACGGAUGGAAUUGGCGUAAGAUCCUAAGGGGAUUCAGCCCUAGCUCGCAACUUGAGAGGGACUCGAUCUCAACGCUUAUGGAAUCACUGUCGACUGUGGUGCUAACUGCCAGCCAUGAUAUAGUAAAAUGGAGAUGGACCCAAUCAGAUGUGUUCACGGUUAAAUUGCUUUACACUUUCUUACAAGAUGGAGGGGUCAAAGACUAUAGCUCCGUUCGACUGUGGAAGAUUAAAUCCCCAUUAAAAGUUAAAAUUUUUGUUUGGCUUGUUUUGCAGCGUAAGGUACUGACUGCGGAUAACCUAUUAAAAAGCGGUUGGUACGGUGAAUAAAAGUCUGUCAUGUGUGGGGUGGAGCCGGAGACGGUGGAUCACCUUUUUGUGCAAUGCAACUCUACCAGAUCUCUGUUGGCAAGUUAAUUUCCUAAUAAAAUAUUUUUACUAUACUGUACUUCGGUGGGAGGGCUUUGGGAGUCUAGUAGCCUCAAAGGCGGUGCCAUAGGGAGCUCGGAACUAUCUAAAAUUGCCUUUAUUUGGUGGACUAUAUGGUUGGAACAAAAUAAGAGAAUUUUCCAGCUAAAGAAAUGGAACUUGAGCUCUUUGAUGGCGCCAUCCCGCGAAUUUAGACAUAUGUGGAAGACUUUCUGUAUUGCUUUGUAAUCUCUCUCUUUUUUUUUCUUUUUUUUUUUUCUUUUUUUCGGUUCGUAACGAGGUCCAGCUGCCUUAGAAAUUUGCUUAGUUCAAUAUCUUUAUGAAUGAAGCGGUAGCAUGCUACAUUUUCUCAAAAAAAAAGAAGAGGAAAAAUAUAUAGAUGAUUCUUUCUCAAUUAAUACAUCAACAACAUGAAAUUAAACUCACGAACAUUAUUGCUCAUACACCUAUUAUAAAGAAAAAAAAAUUGUUACCCUGUUCGUCCAAAAGUGGAGUGUACAAUAGUGUGUUCCUUAUCCAUCCAAGGGUUGAAAAUAGCUCUUUUGGAUUUCUAAUAAUAGAAUUGUGAGAAGAUCAGUAUAGUAUAAAAUUAUUUUUGAAUACAUUGAAUAUAAAUAUUAAAAGUACUGUUCUAUGACAUCUUAACUUUUUGAAAAAUAACAGCUGUUAUAUAGAAUUUAAUAUGGUAUUAAAGGGGAAGGUUUUGAGUUUGAGCCUCGGCGCUUAAGUUUUUAAAAGAUAAUAGUUAUUUUAUAUAAUUUAACAAGAGUUUUAAUGGAAGGUCAAAAAGAUUAGUUUGAAAUAACACAAUCUCACAGGAGAUUAGCUACAGAUUGUGGUGAUGUUCUCCAAUUAAGACCUUUCUUUUUCUUUUUUUUUCUCUCUGUUUUUCUUUUUUCAAAUUCUUUGACAAAAGAUAGUUGUUGUCUAUUUAAACUCUUGUGCUCAAUUCAUGAGGCAUGGGAUUAAUGAGUUAGUUUUCCUGAUAAUCUAAUGACUUGCUUAUUAGUCAUUAGCUGUCCCCGCAUUAUAAAUUAACAUCUACGCCUUUUCGAGCAACACUUCUUUUAAUAAACAACAACUAUGUACAAAAGGAUCAACACAUUUUUAUUUUUUUCCUGAAUUUUUUAUGCUUUUAUAAUCGAGGCAAAAUUAAUAGAAAAAAGCCUUCGUGGUGUGCAUGUUUUUUUUUUUUUUUUCCUCCAUUCAACCAAACUUUUCUUUUCUUGAUAUUCCAGCUAUAUGAAAUCAACAAGGCAAUUAGUUGAUUAAUACUUUGCAUAUUUGAAUGGCUCUUUUCAUAUGCUCUGCAACAAGGAUUUAAGUACCGUGGCACGGGAUCGUGCUGAAAAUUUGCCUCCACGGUACGGCACAGUGCUUGCCGAGCUGUGCCGAUGCGUGCCGGUCAAAAAAAUUUUUGUGUACCGACACAUAAUAGUAUGAAAUAUUUAUUUUCUUUAGCAACAAAAUAUUAUAACUAUUUAUUAUAUCUUUUUUAUCAUAUUUUUUGAACUUUAUUGAAAAAAUUACUUACUAAUUUAAAGAAUAAAGAGUUUUAAGGUUUGCCAUCGGCAUGGAGUCUGUAUUGUGCCAGUAUUUUAUUGGCACGGUAUGGCACGGUAGAUAGGGCCCGUACCAACGGGCACUUAAAACCUUGCUUUGCAAUCUCCAUCAACACCUAAGAAAAAACUUAUAUUGUUUGCACAACAUCUUUAUUAAAAAAAAAAAUUAUAUAUUGUUUGGUUAUAAGAUUGUAGGAAUCAGUUAUUGCCAACAAGUACUCUCAGUCGAAGUUUUAAAAAAAUCAUCUCAUAAAAAAAAUAUAAAUAAAAUCAUAACUUCCUUCUGCUCUGUUUUAUUUUAGGGCCAGUUUGAUUGGAUGUAAUUAGAAAUACAGUGCAAAUUAAAGUUCCAUGUAGUUAAAAAUAAUUUAUUUAAUUUGAUGUAAUAAAAAGUACUGUAAAUAUAAAUAAUUUAUUUGAUUACAUGUAGUUAAAAAGUAUUUUUUAAAGGUUUAUUUUAUACACGUUAGUAGUAAAAUUAUCUCUAGUAUAACAACAGCUAGAUUCAAAUGCACCAUAACAAAUACUAAAUUUGGAUCCGUGUAUAUCAUAUGCAACCAAAUAACUCCUUAGUAUAUUUGUGAAGUGUAAACAAAAGUUCCCAAAAAUAUGCAUAAAGAAAAAGAAGGAUAAUUACAUAUGACUCUCGUAUUAAAUAGUAAAUAUAUUUCUAUAAAAUUUAAGUUAUCAGAUUUAUUCCUAUAAAAAUUCUUUCGUUUGUAAAUAUAUCCUUAUAUUAUCAAAAUUUAGNUGCAAAUCUUGUUGUCGCCAGGAAUAAAAAUAAGGGGAUGAGAAAGAUGACGGAACUAAAUAUUGGAAUACAAAUUAUAUAUAUAUAAGGAAUAAAAAUUCUUUCGUUUGUAAAUAUAUCCUUAUAUUAUCAAAAUUUAGAUAAUCAUAAGUUAAAAAAGCUAACUAGAGUUAGCUAAAGAGUGAAGUGAAGUUUUUAUUCCUUAUAUAUAUAUAAUUUGUAUUCCAAUAUUUAGUUCCGUCAUCUUUCUCAUCCCCUUAUUUUUAUUCCUGGCGACAACAAGAUUUGCAGUGGCGGUGAUGUCGAAGGCAAGACUUUCAAUUGCGGCAAAUAUGAAGUAUGUCGAAUAUGAAGUACGCCGUACGUGCGACCGUGAAGACGAAAAAAGAGAAAGAAAGAAAGAUAGCUUUUUAUACGGACAAACUUGUAUGGAUAAAAUAAUUAUUUUAUAUAUUCAUUGUUAAAAAAAUUAUCAGUAACAAAUCAUGGGAACAAAUAUGAACAUUAUUAGACUUUUGAAGAAAUAAACUUGAUAAUUUGAAUUUUGUAAAGAUAUACUUAUUAUUUUAUUAUUUGGAGCCAUAUAAAAAAAGAAAAAGAAAAAGAAAAAGAGAGCAUAGGUUCAAUCUUUCUUAAAAUGUACGUAUUCUGCUCCAACGUACGAAAAAGUAAACCUGUCACUACCCAAAGAAUUCUUUGGCAUAGAUAACAUCAGAAGCUAAAAAAAAGAAAAGAAAAAAAAAAAAACAAAAAAUCUCAAAUAAUUCGCGCCCCUGUAUACGCUACAAAGAUUAAUCACAUAUAUCCUAAUAAACAUGGCAAUUCACUAUCACGCAUUUCAUAACAUACUCUACAAAAAAUAAAAAUAAGAAAAGGGGAAAAAAAAAAAACAAAUACUAUAAAAUCAUAUAUUAUAUAUUAUUAUAUAUAUAAACACAAAGAAGCAAACCAAUCCACACACACACACACACACACACACACACACGAAAAGUAAAAAAAAGUUAAAAAAAAAAGAAAAAAAGGAAAGGGAAAAAGAAGUAAUUUUUAAAGAAAAAUGAAGCAAUCCAUAGAAAUGAGCGGAUUAUUCAAAUCCUCAACGAGCGGAGAAGCCCUAAAACUCUCUUUUUUAGGAAGAAGCGCUUCUCCGCCCCGCACUUCGCUCCCCCGCGGCUGCGGCGGCGGCGGCGACGCGAUUCGGUGGGUUCGAUUCGGAAACCUCUCCUUCUCCGAAUCCGCAUUCGCACCCUUCGAGCUCCGCGACCUGCUCUGGCCCCGCUCUAGGGUUAAUUUCUCCUUCCUCGGCCUCGGCGGCGGCGGCGGCGGGUCGGCCCUGAAGCUCUUCCGCCCCGCGCGCGCCGUCGGCGAGCUCGAGCGCGCGCGCUUCGGUGGGCGGCGCGGAGGGCCGGCGAGGGUUUGCUAAUGUUAGGGUUUCCGUUUCCGGUCGUCGCCGUCGUCGUCGUCGUCGUCGUCGUCGUCGUCGGCUUCGCCGCCUCCCAGGUACGCUUCUUAGGGUCGAGCACCACGAUGUUGUAGUUGGCGUCCUCGGCGCACGAUAGCGGGGACUCUAGGUUGAGGCUAGGGUUGUUCCUGGCGCACGAUAGCAGGAACCCGUCGGAGAAGGGUUUGCAGGUAGAAUUAGUAGUAGUAGUAGUAGAAGAGCACGUCGACGAAGUCGACGAAGACGACGCCAUUGACGAGGAGGAGGAGGUGUAGGAGGAGGGAGGAGAAGGGUGGUGGGUUUUGGGGACGCUACGGGGUACGAUUUUGGGGUUCGCGUAGGAGGAGGAGGAUGUGUUGGGGACGUUUUCGGGGACGAUUCUCGGCGCCGCGUAGGAGUAGGGCGACGAUGUGUUGUUGGGGACGAUUCUGGGGGACGCGGAGGCGAACCCUACCUUCUCGCUAAUUUGGUCGGAGGAGGGGUUACAGGGGUAACACUUGCUCACACACGUCCCCAUUUUUUUAAUUUAUUUUUUUAAUUUUUUUUAUUUUUUGGGGAUUAGGGUUUGUGUUUAUAGGGAGCAAUGGAGGAGGAGGAGGAAGAAGAUGACGCAGUAUUAUAUAAGGGGCGGGGGUAUUGUCGUAAUUUUAGUGUUUUUUUGCGCUUUAUUUUGCCCUUUCUUUUUAGUUUCUGCGAUUUUACAUAUAUGCCCUCCCUAAAACAUCCGAAUUUUCCUGCGUGAAAAUUGCACCACACUCCCGGAGCUUCUGGUUCCUCAGCUUAAUUGUGGCUUGAAAUUAAUUUUGAACAUAAAUUUAGUCUCAAGUUCACUUUGAAAUUAAAAUAUUAUAAAAAAAAUAUGUCUAAUAGUUCAACAUGCAAAAUAAAUACGUAAAGAUAAUAUUAUAAUAUUUUCUUUUUGAGAAAUAGGUAACAUGCUAUUCGCUUUGUUUAUUUUAUUUAGAAAUAAAUUUAGCUAAAAAUGUGCAUCAACUAAGAUUUGAACUUAGAAUCUCAGGUUCCAACCAUCAAGUUUUUUACCAUUUGCGCUAAGAACGAUCGAUACAAUAUUAUAAUAUUAAAAAAUAAUGUAAGAGAAAGUGACUAUGCGAGCAAGUGAAAGAGAGGGAGUAGGGUUUUACUGGUUUGAUUAUAUGAGCCGGCAAAAUAUAUCGAAUAACCAAAACUCUAUAUACAUAUAAUAUUAUGUAUUUUAAUUGUAGAAUUAAUUUCGUACAGCUCCAUGCAAAUAUAAUAAAUUGUAAAUAUUUUUCUACAAAGUUCAACUCUUAUAUAUUGUCCCUAUAAAAGCCCUAAUAUUUUCAAAUAUGUCCCUCGGGUUUGUUACAUUUAAAAUAAGGUCUAUUUUAUAAGUGAAUUGAUCUUUUUGCCCUUACAAAUAUGUUUUUCAAAACUUAAUUGAAGAGCGGUAAAAAAAUCAAUUCACCUCAUUAACUAACCAGGGUUAAGUAUUCAAUCUAUGAUUAAUUAAAUUUUUUUUACGGAUUCUAACGAUAGGGAUAUAUUUGAAAAUAUCAAAAUUUUUUACAGAAAUAAUAUAUAAAAGUUAAACUUUAUAAAAAUAUAUAUUUAUAAUUUAUUAUAUUUGCAGGGACGACCUGUAUGCAAUUAAUCCUUAAUAAUUUAUAUUAUUUCGUUGAGUAACAAAAUGCCAGGGGAUGGAUAACCUUGAGAGGGUAUUUUCGUAAUUUUAUAUGUCCUUGUUAGCGGAGGAGGUUUCAAACUGUAAAGGCGGGUUGUGGGUGGGAUAGGAAACCGUUGGUUAAUUGGGGUUGGUUCGUUUAACGGAUAUAUCGUGCGCAAUGAUGGCUCCGCCCUUUAUCAUGUGACGCCACUUUUUUUUUUUUUUUCUUUACAUUAAAUUAAGGAAAAACUUCAAAAAAAUUUCCUGUAAUUUUAUCGUUUCUCACUUUGCGGUUUAAAACGUAUCAAUUUGCCCUCCUGUGAUUUUUUUUUUCUCCUUUUCUUAUCAAUUUUAUUAUUUUUUUUCUUAAAUCAGUGAUAAAGUUAAAAUUAAAGAAUACUAAAGUGAAUAUUUGAUAAUUUUAGAUGGGUAUUUAAAAUUUUUUGUAUAUAAUUUAAUAAAAUAUUAACGAAAAAGCUACUGAAAAGAUAAGAACGAAACCACAGGAGAGUAAUUUGAUACAUUUUAAAUCACAGGAGGGCAAAGUGAGAAACUACGAAACCACAGGGGGUUUUUUUAAGUUUUCACCAUUAGUCCCUACACUUUUACUUCUUGUUAUUUUGUCCCUUACUAUUUCUUUUUUGCGCCAUUCAAUAGGGACAGAGAUGAAACGGGAAGAGAGUGUGAAUGUCAAAAUUUAGCAUCCGUUAUAUAUUUGUAUUCAAAUUUAAAUUUUAAAAAAAUAUAUGUGUCAAAUCUGUUAAUAUGGGCAAUAGGGAGAUGAAGCUAUUUUUUUAUCGUGCUUUAUUUAUUUUACUAUGAAUUUAUAUUAAAAUUGCAUAUUUUUUGGUUAAAAUAUUAAAUUCUAUUAAAUAAAAUAUAAGCAUACGAAAUUUAAACACGAAUAUAAAUUUUUAAUUGCAUUGUGCAUCUUAGUCAUGCUAAUUUUAGUUCAUAUUUAUAUAUGCAUAUAUUAGUAUAUAUUAUUAUUCAAAUAAUAUUCGAAUACAAAUCUGGCUCAUAUUUGAAUUUGAAUCAGUUUUAAAUAAAUAUGAUAACGAAAAUUUAGCAUCCAAUACAUAUCGCAUCCCAAGAAAUAUAUACAUGUCGACGUGGUUUUGCCCAAAAUCCAAGUCUAUUCAACCAUUUUCACUCUUACUAUUCAGUCCCUAGUUUUUAUAUUUUAUUUUAGUUAGGUGUUAACCAUCUAACUUCUUUUUAAUUUUGACAAAUAAACGUUAUUCAAAGUGGUGAAAUUAAACUUGACCCGAUGUGUGCGUAUACGGAAAAAGAGUUUAUUAGAGACUAAAGAAAAAAAAGUGAAAAAUUAGAGACCGAUUAUAUAAUUAAUUCUCAAGAUUAAGAAUCUAAUUACAAAAAUAAAUAAAUAAAUAAAUAAAAGGCUGGGGACUGAUAUGAACGAAUCUUGAAAUAAACUAAUUAGGAGCAAUUGCUUAUAUAGCUUUGAAAAGUUUUCGACUUUUUAAUUUAUCCCUCUUAGAAGGCUAAUAUUAAAUUUAUCUUCUCUACUUUUCAAUUUAUUUCAAAUAUAGCUCUUUAAAAUUUUCGACUUUCUAAUUUAUCUCUCUUAAAAGGUUACUAGUGUAGAGACCCGCGCGAUGCAGCGGGUAGAUAAUAGAAGUAAAAUUUAAAAAUUUUAAUAAACUUUAUAUUUAAGAUUUAUUGAUAUAUAGAAAGCUAUAACAUAUUAAGUACAGUUAAUUUGUAUGACUAAAUUUACAUAGUAAGCAGAGGCCCCCGCGCGGACCGACUCAGCGAGCACUUAUAUAGGUCGCGGCUCGGCUUCGCGGGACGAUGCUUCUUGAAGGAGACAAUGUUCUUCAGAGGCUCUUCUUCUUCUUCUUCUUCUUCUUUGUUAACAGAAUGAGAGAAAGAGGGAGAUGAGUGCGGAGUAGGAGAUUAGACGAUGAUAUUUUUUUAUGGUGCAUGUAAAAGAGUUACAAAAGAAAGGGGGUAGGAGAUUAAUUAAUGGAGGAGGGAAGUGGUGCAUGUAAAAGAAUUACAAAAGAGAGGGAGUGGGAGAUUAAUGGAGGAGGAAAGUGGUUAAAGUUAUAAAAUAGAAUCUUAAUAUGGUGCAUGUAAUUAAAUAUUGCAUGUAAUUAGAGUAGUGGUGAGAUGAGUUAGGCGUUAAGAAAAGAAGAAGGUGGUUUGAUUUAAAGUUGGAUUUAAAGUUACAUAUAAUUAAAUAUUGUAACUUACAUAUAAUUAGAGGAGUGGGGAGGUGAAGAAUUGAGAGUUGAAAAGAGGAGAAGGUGGUUUGAUUUAAAGUUGGUUAUGAGAAGUAAGAAUAACAUGCCACGUGGCAAAAAGUAUUGUGGCUUCAUAUAGUUUUAUAGAAUAUUAAAUUUAUCUUUUUUACUAAUAGAGUUAAAUUUUAUUAGUAAACGAUUAGCAAUAGCCAUUAUUUUUAUAAAAUUACUAUUUUAUCCUUUCAAAUAUACCCUUCUAACAUCACCAACUUUUCUUAUUUGCGCCUAAGUUAGGAGCAAAAAAAAGUAUUCUGAUUUUUAGUCUUUUCAAAUAUACCUUUCUGCCAUCACCAAUUUUUCUUAUUUGUCCUUAAGUUAAGGGCAAAAGAGGUAUUUUGAUUUUUUUUAAUUCUGAUAGGUAUUUAAUUCACGUUUAAUACGAGAUAACUUAACGGACGGUAGCUGUGAGAAUAUUUUUGAAUAGCGAAAAAAUAUAUAUAGAAGGUAUAUUAGAACUAAAAAAAUAAAUUAAAUAUUUUUGAAGUUUUGAAAAGUACAUAGGCA
rnacentral:lncRNA from 1 species